UGGUGGGGAAACUUGGUGGGGGUGGCUGGUUUGGGGCUGAAAUGCUGGCGUCGACCCUGAAUUGCUGCUUGUUGUAGAUUGACCUGUGCACAAAGGAUAUAGGUUAAAAAAGGAGGUGUAGGUAUGAGGAUCUCCUUUGUGGAUGUUUUUCGCUGAGGUUUUAGCUGAAUGCUGAUGGACCGUUUUCUAUAUAUGUUUUGUCCCAAUUAAGGUAGCUUUGGGUGAUUCCCAAUUAAAUCUUGAUAGUUAGUUGCUCUUUGUAGGUCUGGUUGAAGAUAAAUGCCGACUUACUGCCCUUCGAAGCAAAUGAUUCUGUCUUCAUUUUCUUGCUAUUCCAACGUCAUGGUCUAAAUCUAAAACCUUGAAUUCGCCGGAUAUCCCCCCCCCCCCCCCCCCCCCCCCCCUCCUAUGAUAUUUUCUCGUGUAUCCAGAAUGACGGAUUGGCCAAGCUUUUAUCGUUGCGACUUGCAAAAGUGUUUGUGCAGCAAAACACGCCUCUAUCAUGCCAGCGCGGUUUCGUUGACAAACAUUUCGCGGAAGGCAGGCAACGUGGGAGGUGGGUGGUUGAUGCUGUCCUCCGCUCCGUUUUCGUUCACCAGGAAAUAGAAAUUCCUUGCCAGGCCGUCCGUCUCCAUUUAACACAACUUUCUUACUCGAAAGCAGCAGUGUGAGUUUCGUGGCCUCGUGGGCAUUCGAAAGCAAUUAAUAUGGGACGGAGACUAGUGGGAGUAGCUACAUGUCGCCAUAUCGAUGCCUUACUAAUGUGUGCCACAUAUAAAUUUAUUAUAAAAAAGCACAGAAAAUAGUGACGUUGAUUCCAGAAAUGUUUAUAGAAAAAUUACUUUUUUUGCGAGGAUCAUAGAAACAUUGCUUAAAUUAGACACUUGUGCAUAUUUACUCCUUAUUAAAUCAUUAUGGGGUAAUACACGAGGGAAAAAAAGGAAUAACGACAAGUUAAAAAUGGGAUCCCAAACAUUACAAAUUUGAUAAGACUUUUUGCUAAAACCAAACUUGCCGGCUCUCAAUUUCUAGAACAUUUUAUAUCUUUAUCUAUUUACAUACUAUAGGACAUUUAAUUUCUUAUAAAGGUGCACUGCAAUUUUUGAUAGAUUAUGUCGCCAGAUAGUAUGUAGCAUUCUUUUCUUUUGUUUUUUAAAAAAUGGUGAAUUGUCACCUUUGAUGUACGGGCUCAAGUUUGAAAAAUCUCCACGCGAGUACAUAUUGUUGCUCUGUAAUUCUCUCACUCCUCUUCAAACCAAAUGUGGAAGUCGCGCGUUAUGUUUUUCUCAAUGAAACAUUGCAUGCAAUGAGCAGCUUGUGCACAAACGUGCCCACGGGCCCACAUGGCAGCCACACAUCCGGAACCCGUACUGAUCCCCCAGCGUAGCCGGAUGGUCGUGAAACCACCACUGGAUCGGUUUGAUUAACCACCAACCAUAAAAAUAUGGAAAUACUAGUACUCCCUCCGUAUACAAAUUUGAAGUCGUUCUGGGCGACGCUUCAUCGAUGCGAAAGGAAGUCGUUCUGGCUUGUUGAGGAGGUGGUUUUUGACACGUUUGCCCAUGGCGACGCUUUGUUCCGCGCGCCCACCGGUUCAAAACAUUAGCCAAGGGAGUUGAACCUGCCCGCAAGCCUCAAGUCCCACCACCUAACCAGUCCAACUACAAAUUGUUCUUAUCUAGGAGUCACCCACAUUUAAUAAGGAUAAGUAUGAAAAAAUAUCACUUAAUUAGUGACCCCUUGUUAAGCACGAUCAUGGGAGUAUGACAGCAAAUGGGAGUAUGACAGCAAGGGGCGGAACCGGCGAGGACUCUGCCACCGCCCACCAGACGCACAGGCACCCGUUGAUCUCUGCCCGGGACGCGAUCCGGACCGUCCGCUCUGUCUUGCUGCCCGGCUGCUCUCGCGUCGCGCGUGGCCUGUGACGCGUGUCCGUCUAUAUCUAUAUAUACGCCCGCGCCGCGGCGGGCAAUCCGAUCCCCACAAAACCCCAAUCGCGUCGGCUUCCCCAGCUUUACCCUCUGCUCUGCUGCUUCGCUCCGGCUGCGCGUGCAAAGAAUCGAUCGGAAAAGGUAACCAAUCUCUCCUUGCUCGCGCAGGAAUUCAUACGGAGAAGUGGAUCUUGGAUGGAUGCAUUAGCGGUUCGCUGCUCAGCUGCAUUACAUGGCCGCGUCCUAGGUUGGGGGGAUGCGCGGUUUAGGGCUUUUGUUGGUGGGGUUCUUGGGGAUCUUUUCGGGGGUUUCUUCCCCUGUUCUCUCGAGCCCUGCUGGCUAGAUGUUUGUUUUUGCCAAUUGUAGCUGCUGCUUUGCUCCUCUUUCCCCAAUGCGAUUGUUUUGCGGCUGUCAGAAGGGGAAAACUUGUUUGCAAAGAUAAAGAUUUUGGGGGCUGGUUCAGAUGGGAUCGACAAGUGCCUGAAAUUUCUGGCAUCUUUAGCCAAUCGAGUGGUUUCCUAUUCAUGCUGGAUCGAAAGAAUCGGUUAGCUGAGCAGUUCCUUUCUUUGUUUUGUCUCAAGCCAGUUGUAGGCGAAUGUGACCUGCACUAAUACAUAUCUGAACGCUGCGGGAUAAUUGAUCACCUCAUAUAUUUUUUUUUGUUGGGGGGGGGGGGGGGGUGCAAGGUGCCAAAUUGCAUAGUUUGUUCUGUACCAUUUUUUUGUAACGCAGCCGUGCGGGCUUCCUUUGACAUACAGCUCUUCUGCAAGUUGGUUUAAUUUAUUUUUUUUGCAUAGUUUUCCAGUUUGUAGUCAGGUGCCUCUGGUCCCGAAACUUUAGACCUUUUGAUUUCUCUGACAUGUAUAUUACCCUUUGUCUGCACAACCCAUAUGAGCAUAUCAAUCUGCAACUUCUUUUUUUAACUUAUGAUCAAAGUAAUUCACUGAACAUAAGUUAUUCUCUUCUCUGUCCGUUUUAUCCAGUUUAUUAGUAUGCCCUACUUGUGUUUGCUGAAUUUCUGUUCUGAUGCUACUUUUGCUCCGAAAGUAAGCUAUUGGACAGUGAGUUUAUGGUCUCAUGUGUUUACUUAUUUGAAAGAGUUCUAGUGCAUCACGGGUUUUUUUAGUUGUCCUCAUGUCGUAGAUUCUGAUUGGACAGGGUCGUUAAUCUCUAUCCAUUCAGGUGACCUUAUCCUAUUUAGUCAUAUAUACUGAUAUCUUUAUUCACUUGUGUGCCAUAUUUUGGCUUUCUUUAUAUGUCAAAAACUUGUUGUACUUCAUUCAAGAUGUACUUCUAGUUGAUACAAGAGUUGCUUGUAUAUCUGAGCUAUCUAUAGAGUACUUUAGGAAUCAAUCAACCAAGAUAUGCUUCGAUGACAAAUCAACAUUGCCUUGCUUUUACACUCCUGUCCUUUGUUAUGCAUUAUUGGGCUACUGAUAGCAUGCCUAACAGAGAUCAUUUUUGUGCAGAUAAGACAUGGGUCAGGUUUUGGGUUUAGUGCAAGUUGAUCAGUCAACUGUCGCCAUCAAAGAAACUUUUGGCAAGUUCAGUGAGGUCCUGGAGCCUGGUUGCCACUUCCUACCCUGGUGCAUAGGGCAGCAGGUUGCUGGUUACCUCUCCCUGCGUGUGCGGCAGCUGGAUGUCCGCUGUGAAACAAAAACAAAGGCAUUCUCCAAUACCAUUCUAUUUUAUAUCUGAUUUGUGUUUUGCUGAAGCUAUUGUCAUGAUCAACCUGUUGCCUGGACUUUAUCUGUUCAGGACAAUGUCUUCGUCACUGUUGUUGCAUCUGUCCAAUACCGUGCGCUUGCUGAUAAAGCAUCUGAUGCCUUCUACAAGCUGAGCAACACCAGGGAACAAAUUCAAUCAUAUGUAUUUGAUGGUAAGUAUUCCUUCUGUUUGAAAUUGUUCUUUAUAUGUUCAAUUGUGUCCAUGUUUUCAUUCUAUCUUUGUACUGUACUCGUACUUGUCCUAUCACCUCAGCUUGGUAUUAUUUGGUCUCCUUAAGUACUUGCAUACCCUGUAUCAGUUGACUAUUUUUUGUGUUUGUUAAUCUACUGAGAUAAAUUGUACCUUUUGUUAACAUUCUUAGUUUAUCAGUACAAGGAGAGUUAUGUUUCUAUACCGCACAAAUCACAAUUCGAAUGAACCAGUUUUCUUAGCACUUCAUUGCUCAUUUCAGUCAUUAGAGCCACUGUUCCAAAGCUGGAAUUGGAUGACGCAUUUGAGCAGAAGAAUGACAUUGCAAAAGCUGUUGAAGAGGAGCUUGAAAAGGUUUUUGUCGCACAUUUGUUUUUGUUUACUUGUGUUGAAUUUGCUUUAGAGCAUGUAGAAUCUUUUGAUUGACCUGGCUUGUUUGUGGUGUAGGCAAUGUCUACAUAUGGCUAUGAGAUCGUGCAAACUCUGAUUGUUGAUAUUGAGCCUGAUGACCGUGUCAAGAGAGCAAUGAACGAGAUCAAUGCAGGCAAGUGCUUUACCAUUCACAUAAGCAUCAGAUUAAAUUGGCAAUACAGCAUUUGCUUGGGAAUAAGCAUCUAUGAGUUUUAUCGAUUAAUCUUACAUGUUGCCCUUCCGGCUGUAUGGUACAGCUGCUAGGAUGAGGUUGGCAGCCAGCGAGAAAGCUGAGGCCGAGAAGAUAAUCCAGAUCAAGAAAGCUGAAGGAGAGGCCGAGUCCAAGUACCUGGCUGGUGUGGGUAUUGCAAGGCAGCGUCAGGCCAUUGUGGACGGGCUGAGGGACAGCGUUCUUGCCUUCUCAGAGAACGUCCCUGGCACCACUGCCAAGGAUAUCAUGGACAUGGUCCUGGUCACCCAGUACUUCGACACCAUGAAGGAGAUUGGGGCCUCAUCGAAGUCCUCUUCAGUGUUCAUCCCCCAUGGUCCUGGAGCUGUCAAGGAUGUCGCGGCACAGAUAAGAGAUGGCCUCCUGCAAGCCAGUCAGUGAGAGGGCCCUGAGAAAAGAAAGUAUUGGUUUUGAUUGCAAAAGCAAUGUUGAGGGCACUGGUUAUGUGGUGCUUUAACUUGUGUUAUAUGAUAUAGCUAGACUUGCAUGGUUUGUGAAUGGUCAGUAGGCUUUUAUAUUGAUUGGACCACUUGCGAGUGGAUAUCCUAUAUGUUAGCGUGGAAAGUCCAUUUGGAUCGAACUCGGAGCUUAAUAUUGAAAGUGCAGCUUCUGACAAGAUGUUUGUUGCUGGUGAAAUUGUUUUUGUAGGCUCCAUUGAUGGACUGCAAAGUGGUAAUUGGCAAAUUUUGAUGCUCAGUUAGAUUUGUUCCACAAUACUUUGCAUGUUGUAUACACAAAUUUUUUGCAAGUGAAUACUAGGACAAGGUUUCUCGCACAAUAUGAUGUAUACACACCACCCAACAAACACAUUUGCACAUCCAUUAUUCUGCAUCAUGUAACUACAGAAUGUACAUACAUAACGAUGGGCCUAAAACAAACUUAGAUGAUGUUGAGUGUCUACACAGAUCUCCUUGUAACAAUGAUCGUUCUUGUGCAAUACAACACUAGAAGUUUUACCGAACGGAUUCUCUAGUCUUUUCAAGAAUGCCCGUUAUGAUGGAUUGUAUAGCUGGAGCUGGCAGUUUUUAUUUCAUUUAUUCUUUUAUACAUGUUAUUGUUUUGACAGUAUAUGAAGUUCUGUUGUUUUAGAAUGCAAAUAACAGCAAGUUGGAUUUGUUUUUCCUCACUUCCAAGGAACUAAAACCUCCACACAAGUGCAAAGCACAUAACGUGCAAACUCUAGCACCUGCAAAUCCCAAAACCCCGAUGGAAGGUUCUUGCAUAAUGUGGGGGUACUCCUACGACACCUCACUCACCAAAUAUUUACAUUUGCACAUUGGUAAUUAUACACCAUGUAACAACACAACAGUUUUGAUUGCCAUAUACAUAAUCUUGUAACAAUGGCAUGAACAGUAAAUCUAUUGCUGCUUUCUGCCUGGUUAAAAAUGACAGGAGAGCAAGUCCAGGUCAAGGGCACAGACUACGCAGGCUUCUGAGUGAACAAGUAGGGCAUAGUGGUUGCGGCUCACGCGUCACGGACAAUCCGAACUGGUUCCAAGCAUCCAAGUACUCCUUCCUCCACUCCUCCCUAAGCUCUGCAGAAUCGCGGUACCAUUGCCUGGUGAUCCACAAAAUGAUAGCAGAUUUGAAUACAAAUAUGAGCUGCUGAACACUGCCUAGGAUUAGGGUUAUUUGCAGGAAAAGGGAAAAUACAUGAGGAUUUGGUGCAGUAUCUGUUAAGUGGGACUCUUUUCUUUUUUGCUAACAAAACACAUUUCAGAGGUUUUGGCGAGCUAUCUAAUACAAGAUAUAAACAUAGACUAUCAGCUGGUAGUUACAUCACAUUGCAGUCAGUAAAUUUCUGAAAAAUCAGUCAUGCUAACCAUGCUGUUUUAGAACACGAGAGAUAUGUUCAGGAUCCGGCAAGAAGCAACUGAUUUUGAGAAAGGCAUCGAGUAUUGGAGCGUGGAGGCUUCUACAAUUCAGUAGGGAGUGGCAUAAAGCAACACCAAUUCAUCUGCUUAGUUUUCAGAAAGAAGCUAUAAGCUAUGAUCCAGGCUCUGGUUAGUGGAUGCUUGGUAUUUUCCAGGCUCAGAGACAUCCAUUGAACAAAGCAGGAAGGCUGCCAGAAGGAAUUUGGUUAGUUGAUCAUGUCACUCAUAGAUAUCAAUUGACCAUCUCCAGAUCUCCUCUUCAACAGAUGCCACCGAAAAAAGGAUGAACCAAAGCCAGAGAGCACACAUAUCAUCCCUGCGAUUUCGCACACCAAAAUCAGUAGGGCACACUCAUCUCCUGAACUCAGACAAGAGGCUAUUUUCUUGGGCCUUCAAAGAUAUCUCCCUCAAUCAUAUCCAACCAGAGACCAUACUUCUGCUAAUACUACCAGCAUCAGACACCCGAGAAAGAUAAGCGCGGAGGCAUUCCGUCGAGCACCACUCGCGCGAGAGAGAGGAGAGACGAGAGGCGGGGGAUAGGCAACUCACUUGCAGACGAGGGAGCAGCUGAGGAGAUCGACGCAGUCCAGCUGCGAGAACACCCGCGCCAUCACGUGCGCCGGCGCCCGCAGCGCCGACGCCUCCACGGCCGCCGAAUCGCCGCCCUCCUCCUCCCGCAGCGGCGGCGCCAUGGCCGAUCCGCCCGCCCCGGUUCUUGGGUUGGAGCGGACAAGCGGCUGCAGAAACCUCUGCCCCUCGCUCUUCUCCUCGCUCGCUCGAUCGGUCUCUUUCUUUCGAGAGGUUAUAUCCUAUGACACGUCGGUUGAACAAUUCGCCAUUGGGUCGAAGCGAGCGAUUUUUAUUGAGCUUCUGCCACGGAUCGAAACGCGAUGCGGCGAGAGGGGAAAAAAGAAUGCCAUCUGAAUUUGUUUGAGGAAAAUCAGAUGAGAGGUGACGCUGGACGAGAUGUUGAUUGCUUGUCGGACAGAAUAGAUGAGGUGAUUCUUGGAUAAUACGACGGCAUGUUUAGCGAAACCGUGGAUGCUUACGCAGUUGAUGAUAACAUAAUCACUUUUUUAUUUUGAUGGAGAUAACCUAAUUUUUUGUGGGCCGGUGCAUUUUAGGCUGGGAUAGGGGCUGUCCAGGGCCUUCACUUUUUUAGACACUAUCCUCUCAAAAAGUCUGUGGAAUAAAAUGGGCUGCACAGGGAAAAAGAUCUCGGUUAGAACAACCUGGAAUUUUAAAAUUUUUAGUCUCAAGAUUGUACUUGGACAGUUGUGACUAUACCAAUUUUGUAUUCUUGUUUUACUUGGCAAUAGCUCCAAAAAGUGGAUGUUCGCAGUACUGUCGAUUGUUAAGCGCAAUCCAAUUAUUAAGAAAAUAGAAUCAGACCAUCCAGCUAAGCAACAUUAGCAAUAAUAAAAUCCAAUCAUACAUGUAAACCAGUUGAUCCGACAUGUUUCUUUGUAACAAUUCAACCCCGUUAUGCUCGACAGAGAGGUGUUUAAGACUUGCAAACAGCACGGCUCGAAAAGAAUAAAUCUUUUGGAUGCUUGGCCACAUUUCAAAAUGCUAAAGACACAAUAAAAGCAACACAUAACAUGGUCAAUCAGCCAUUUUAUCUGCUAGUUCCUAGAAGAGGAUAUGGCAAGUUAAGCACGACUGCACGAGGACUUUGGGCUUAAGCAGUGUCAAAUUUAUUUUAUUUUUUUAUUAAGCUCAAGGAAAAUAUACUCAAAAGCAUGCAAGGAAAAGAUGGUAUAUUUUGGUUUGGCGAACAAACUUGGUGAACUAUGAUGCCAUAUUGAUAUAAUGUUUAGGAGAAUUAGAUUUAUGCAGUUGUGUCAAUUUAGAUACCCGUAUCUACCAUUGUUUAUGAUAUAUUUGGACUUAUCUUAUUACUCUACAUAAUUAAUUUGUUUUAUUUAUAUCACUAGCGAACCGUUUUCAAGUGGUAUGAUCGAGCAAGUUUCGACAUUAAAAUUGAUACGGUAAUAACUCACAAUGGUGGCUAUUGGCUAGUGUAAACUUCACAAAAGUAAUAACACAUAUAAAAAAACAUCAUUGAUACAAUAGCACAAACUUUUUUAUUUUAAUGUUUGAAGUUGUGUUUUCACAAUGUAAUCUAUGUUGAGAGAGAGAGAGAGAGUGAGCUUGUGUAAUUUCUGGGGUGCUCUUAGGAUUUAUAAUAGUAAUCAAAAUUAUAUAUAAUUUAGAAACAAUUUCUGGUAUGGAGUUUUGCAAAAAAAAAUAAAAUAAAAUAAAGCGGUGGCAAUAAUUUAAAAUUACACUCUGGGUAUCUUCAAAACCAUAGAAAAAACGGCUACAGUUUGUUCAACUGGAUGGAGAAGCCUACUGUGGAUUAGCCAAUGGCUAUUUUUUUUUAAAAAAAAACAGAUUAGCCAAUGGCCCGUGUGAAACCCAGAGGCAGAGAGCUCAAAAAAGGAACGCGGAAAGCGAAAAGAACAGAAACGAAAUAAACUAGGGUUUAACCGGGCCCACGCGUCAGCCGCCGCCCCGUGGUUUUCUCCGCCUUUAUUCCCCCACACCUCUCCUCCACCCUAUCAGCCGCCUCCCAAUCAUCCUCCCCAACCCCCCACGCCCGCCGCGCCUCGUCGCCGCCGCCGCCACCGACGAGAAGAUGGUCGGGCCAGGCCUCUACACCGAGAUCGGCAAGAAGACUAGGGGUGGGUGCCCGCCCGUCCGUUCCUUCCGCCCUCUUUCCCCCCGUGUUCCUUCCACGCUCGGGGGUUGAACUCGCUGGCUGGUGUUUUUGGUCGGUUUGCUGAUUGUUUUCGGUGCGCCUUCUUCACAGAUCUGCUGUACAGGGACUACCAGACGGACCACAAGUUCACUCUCACCACCUACACCUCCAAUGGCGUCGUAAGUGCCCCGCCUCCUCUCCACCCUGCACUCCUCCCCUCCCCUGUUCUCGGUCCUUGGUGCUAGGGCCUUGUGCCGUGCUUUGGUCAGAUGGAUUACGACUCGAAUGUAUCGGAUUGAUGAAACCGUGUGGGGUGGGUUCAUAAUCUAUAUUGGAUUCAUCUGUAUGGUUUGAAACCUAUGACGCGGCUUUAGCGAUGGGCUGCGGGAUUUAGGCGGGCAUGACCGUCAGCACAUGAGAUUAGGUUCCUGCAUGGACCUGCUUAUGAGCUGUGCUUUACAGUAUUUUUGUCUGCUUGUGCGUUUGACGCUGUAACUCAGCAACCUGUGUUUUGCUCGUGUUGCUCUUUCACUGCAUAUUUUGAAGUGGGGUUGGUAGGGAGAAGCUCCUGGGUGUUCAGUAGCUCACUAGCCUAGCCUAUUUGUGGUUCUAAAAAAAUUGUGGUGAUGUGAAAUAGUACCAAGCUUGACCUAAGCAAUUGGUGUCAGGAUCAUCAAGGGAUGCAACACAUGUUAGCAAGGUGGGAGGACAGUGGUUUGAAUAGUCGGUUGUUGAGUGAUGUGCACUCUGAAUACUGGCAAGGUAGCUUAGGGCUGUCAAGCAUGGUGUCUUUUAGUGCUGUUUGGUGUCUUCUAUUCUGAGGAAAAUGUGUUUUUUUUUUCUGAACCAAAUCUAUUGGGGAUAAUGGAACUGCAAUCAAAGUAUAGAACUCCUGACUAGAGCCUUUUCCCAACACAAAACAAAAGAUGGUAUUGAACCCUAGUUAUGCUGUUUCCAUAAUUGGGUUCUUCAACUCAUGAUAUCUUUUGUAUCUUGUUAUUUUUGGGGAUGUGUUGGAAUCUGGAAUUAUGUGUGCUGUUGGGGCUUGUUGUGUGCCUUUGAGGCUUUGAUUUUUCGCUUAGAUGCUGCUUACAUGCUUACAUUCAUUUGCCUGUGUUUAUGGCUAACAUACUGUUUCUUACGAUUUUAAUGGUCUCUAUUGCUUGUUCAUGCAGGCUGUCACAGCUACUAGCACUAAGAAAGCUGACCUGAUUAUUGGUGAGAUCCAGUCACAGAUAAAGAACAAGAACAUCACCGUAGAUGUGAAAGCAAACUCAGACUCAAAUGUAAACACCUCUCUUUUCUCUCUCUAUAUAUACCUAAUGCCUGGUAUACCAUGCUUAGAAAAGGAUCAGCAAUAUGUUCAUUUCUUAUGAUAUCACUUGGAUUAAUAUAUGCAGCCUAACAAACUAACAUCAAGCAUGCUAUUUGUGGUUGAUCAACAAUUUGCACUCUUAACUAAUUAGUUGCUCUGGUAUAUUCCCCACUUUCGAUAUGUCCAGUUGAUUGCUUGCGUUCACGUUUUCUUCAGGUUAUUACCACGGUUACUAUUGAUGAGGUUGCAACACCAGGACUGAAGGCCAUCUUGAGCUUUGCUGUUCCUGAUCAGAGAUCUGGAAAGGUAAUCAUCUAAUCAUCAGGUAGUGAUUUCUUAAGUGGAUGCUUUUUGCUUAAUGUGUUAAUUUGUUUGUAUCUGGUUGCAGUUUGAGCUUCAGUACUUGCAUGAUUAUGCUGGAGUUAACGCAAGCAUUGGUAUGACUGCCAAUCCUAUAGUCAACCUCUCCGGCUCCUUUGGAACCAAGGCUCUGGCAGUUGGUGCAGAUAUCUCACUUGAUACCGCCACUGGGAACUUCACCAAAUACAAUGCUGGACUGAGCGUCACUCAUGAAGACCUUAUCGCAUCCCUGAACCUGUGAGUAUUCAGAGUGUAGUAAUCCUAUAUAUUUAAAUCACUGUAUUCAACUGUGAUUUAAAAGCACAUAACUGUUCUUUAGCUGGUUUAGCACACAAAAAUUAGUCAAAAUACUAAGAUAUUGGUCACCAUGAUUUCAAUCUAUCUUGGAGCCAUUUCUCAAAUGAAGUAUUUUAAAAGAAGCAACAUUUACAAUUUGCUUCAUGUAUUCCUUGCAACUAGAGCUUCUAACCCACUCAGAUUAUUGUAUGCACAGGGAAAAUUAGUCGAAGAAACAGAGUUCACCGAGUGCAUUUUUAUUUAUAAUUUUAAAAAAUCAAAUUGGGCAUCUUCCAUUCAGCAGGUGGUAAUAUAGCUAAUAUUGGGCACUGCCUCUAAAAUGUGGCUGAUGCUGAGCAAUUUAGUUGUCUAAUUGAAUGAAAAAAACACCCUAUGUAUAAUUUUCUUAUCUAACGAAACUAAUGUCCUACAUGUGCUGGUCUAUCGUUGCUUCCACAGCAGAUUUAACUACGACUCUUAAUAUAUGACUCGCAACACUCCAGCAUGUUCGAGAACAAAAGAUAUAGCUAGUCCUGUUUAUUUUCAAUUGGGUUUCCGGUGCUGUGUCUGCCAAAUUUCAUGUGACUGAUCCAACUUUCUUUUGCAGGAACAACAAGGGGGACAGCCUAACCGCAGCUUACUACCACAGCGUGAGCCAAUUGACCAGCACAGCUGUUGGGGCAGAGCUGACUCACAGCUUCUCAACCAAUGAGAACACCCUAACCUUCGGCACCCAGCACGCUCUGGACCCACUGACUGUCUUGAAGGCCCGCUUCAACAACUCCGGCAAGGCCAGCGCGCUGAUCCAGCACGAGUGGAGGCCGAAGUCGCUGGUGACCAUCUCAGCUGAGGUCGACACCAAGACCAUCGAGAAGAGCUCGAAGGUCGGGAUCGCAGUGGCCCUCAAGCCCUGAUUGGUUACAAGUCCCUUUUUUUUUCUCUUAGCUCCCAGGGAUGUACUUCCUUCCCAGCUGAAAAUUGGGGCCAGGUCAGCUGGGGAAAACAGAACAGUUUGGUUUCCCUCUCCCUGCAUGUUUUGGUCGUUGCAGUCUAUCGAUUUCAUGAACUGCGAUGUUUCGUUGAGGAUUUUUUUCGGUCAUUGGUGUAGCACUCUUGUUAAAUGAGCAACCUUCACAAUAAUUCAUGCUCGGUAGAAUUCUGAACUUGUUUACUAUGUUACUUUAAUCAAUGGCCACUCGGCUGGUUGUUUUCAUGUUUCUGGCAGAUUCAAGUUUGCGACGUGUCACUGUUGGCACUGAAGUGGUACGUUUUGUAAGACGUGAUUGUGAGUUUGAGACUUUGCGUGUUAACUGAGGGUGGCGAGGUUUUGUUUCCAAGCUGCAUUCCUUUCGUUUCUGCUAGCCCGAUUGGUAUGUUUCGUGAGACGUGAUUGUGCCAGUUAUAGUCUUUGAUGUUUGAUCUAAGAACCCUGGAGCUCUAAGAUGUACUGAGUUUGUCAAAUUUGUUUACAUUUGAGCAGUUAUCAUUACAUGGUGCAUUGGUAGAAUUCAUGGUGCAUUGGUUUAUCGUUUGUUUUACAUUUGUUUUCUAAAUUUCCGUUUACAAAUAAUCCGCAACUUUGACUUCACUGUUCAAAAUUGGACCGAAUCACCCAAUUAGUUUCUUCUAAUAACAAAAAGACAAACGAAUAAUUACAAGUGUGGGUGUGAUAUCUUCUUUUUGCAACAUUUUUUAAAAAACAUUGGUAAUAAAAAUAAGUACAUGGUCCAGUUUGGUAGACCCGAUUCCGAAACAUAGCAGCAUGGUGUGGGCCGAACCCAUGCCAAUUUACGGUUGUGCCACUUAUCUCCAUGCAAAUCUUCUCUUAUCCCUUCUCGCAAAUCACGACCACGACGUACGCGCGCGCAGUGCAGUGUGCCGUACUCCCCUGCCCGUGCUGUCUGGCCUCCUUCACCUCACGCUAGCUAGACGCUGCAGGCCCGGCCACGAGCUUGAACCGCGCCGCGACGUCGCGGCAUUGCCACUCGAGCGCGCGCGCCGAUGCCGCCGCCGCCGCCGUCUUCGUCGCUCUACUCCCCCGGCCGCCUCCUCCUGGCCCGCCCGACGUCCGCGACGACGGCACGUUCUCUCCUUUCCUCCCGGCCUCUCCUCUUCCGUUUACGCUGCCGGGACGCGCGCUGACGAUGGCUGAUCUUGCCUUUUCCUUGUGUGGGCGCGCGUGCACAGGUUGGGAGAUGGUCGCGCGUGUCGUGCUCGCUGUCCAUGAACGGCUGCACGCCGGGCGCCGGGGAGCGCGGCGCGGUGUGCGUGCGCGAGGCGCGGGCGCUGCCGGCCGCGCCGGCGCCGCAGGACGCCGUGGGCCAGCUCAGGGCCGCCGUGGACGCGCUGGGCGCCGGCGCGCCGCCAGCCGCGCCCUCCGGCAUCAUCCGCAUCGAGGUGCCCAUCGCGCAGCGGGUGGACGCCGUCGAGUGGCUGCACGCGCAGACCGCGCUGCCACGCUGCUUCUUCUCGGCGCGGGCGCCGCUGCCCGACACGCCCGCCCUCGCCGCCUGCGGCAGCAGCAACGGCAACGGUAGCCUCAGCGAUCAGUGCAAGCAGCCGGUGAGCGUCGCGGGAGUGGGCUCGGCGGUCUUCUUCCGCGGGACCGAGCCAUUCUCCCUCGCUGAUUGGCGCGCAAUCAAGAGGUAAUCGCCGUUGGCUAUUCCUUUUGUACAGUGGCAUUGAUGCUUCCACAUGAUGCUGCUAUAUCUUAUCUCUUAUCUGUGUUUUCAAACAAAAAGGGCAUGACCUUACUUCCUGAAUUGGCUGUGUUUGGUAUGGUCGGUACUGAAAUUGUCUUAUGUUGGCUUCUUGUGUUUGCAAAUUUGUCUGUCUACCAAGAUUUCUUUCAAGGGACUGUCCACUGAUUCGAGCAUACGGCGUCAUCCGUUUCGACGCGACGAGCGAUGUUUCGGUUGAAUGGGAGGACUAUGGCUCAUUUUACUUCAUUGUUCCUCAAGUAAGUUGUCUGCCACUGAUAAAUUACGAGAUCAGAGGAGGAACGGAAGGGGACACUAUAAUAGUGUUCUGAAUUUUGUGAAAUAUCUGAACUACUGUAUAGGUUGAGAUCAAUGAGCUUGAGGAGAGCUCAGUCCUUGCGACGACCAUCGCGUGGGACGAUUCGCUUUCUUGGACAUGGCACAACGCUCUGACUGAUCUCCAAUCAUUGUUGCAGAAGGUGCACAUUUUUCUCCAUCCAGUUUUUUUGCCAUAUAGAAGAUAGUAAUGCCUUAUACUUUAUGCAGAUAUCACCUUGCUCUGUACAAGUGAACAAGUCCAGCCUGCAGACAACCAUCAUGAGUCUCAACCAUGUCCCAACCAAGGCAUCUUGGGAUCUUGCAGUUACUAAAGCUCUGCAGAUGAUCAAAGGGAGGCAAAGAGAUUUGGUAAAGGUAAAAUUUUUUUUGUAAACUUUACUGCUAUGCCACAGCGAGAAAAUAGAGAAGUAUAAUUGACACUAUGGAUUAUUGCUUGUUAACUGUGCUCCCGUGACUCCAUUUCUUAACUGUGCACCCAUCGCAAAGAGAUAGACAAAUAUAAUUGACAUAAUGCAAAAGGUUAUUGUUGUAGAUCCAAUUAGGUUUCAAGUCAGACAACCUUUUCAAUAUUAAUACUAUUCAUGUAUGAUUGAUUAUAUGUAACUCCACGACAAAAAUAUAUCGCCGUUAUUGGAUUAAGUAUAAAUCUUUCCACUUUUUUUUCUCUAGUUUGUUUAGAGCUUGUCAGACAAAAAAAAUUGGAUUUACCAAUGUUUUGUUCAGGUUGUAUUGGCAAGGUGUAGCAGAUACAUUACUGAUACUUGCAUUGAUCCUGUGGAACUGCUAGCUUGCUUGAAGGUAUGCUUUUAUCCAUAGCUCGUCGUUUUCAAAUCAAUUCCAUUCUAUGAUAAGGUCACUCUGUAAUUUAACUAUACAGGUUGAGGGCCCAAAUGCUUACCAAUUCUGCAUACAGCCAUCGGAUGCUCCUGCAUUUGUUGGAAAUAGUGUAUGUCUACUCUAUUCUUACAUACUCACUCCGUCCCAAAUUGUAGGUCGUUUUGGCAUUUUUAGUUCAUAGAUUUUACUAUAUAUCUAGACAUAGUGUAUAUCUAGAUACUCCCUCCGUUCCAAAUUGUAGGUCGUUUUAGCUUUUUUAGGUUCAUAGAUAUUAUUAUGCAUCUAGAUAUAGUGUAUGUCUAGGUGCAUAAUAAUAUCUAUGAACCUAGAAAAGCUAAAACAACCUACAAUUUAGAACGGAGGAAGUAGAUAGCAAAAGCUAUGAACCUAGAAAUGCUAAAACGACCUACAAUUUGGGACGGAGGGAGUAGAAAUAGUCUUAACUGCAUACUUUGAUUUUUUUCCUUCUAUUUUAUUAAAAGUGUGUCAGGCAUAUCUUCUAGUUAUUUUACAUUAACUAAUGUAAAUUUUGUGCAAACAUUCUGAACAGCCAGAGCAACUAUUUCACCGGAAAUACUUGAACAUUUCCAGUGAGGCUUUAGCCGGUACUCGAGCAAGGGGGAAAACAAGGGCAGAUGACUUUCAAAUUGGUCAGGAUUUGCUUCUAAGGUUCCUUUCGCUCCUUAGAAUUCAUGACUGUAUUAUGGUUCAGGAGUUCAGGGUGGAGUCAAAUACUUUGUACUGAAAUUGAGCAAUUACUAAUACAACAUUUCUUGCAGUAGCAAAGAGGAUAUUGAAUUUACUAUAGUGCGGGACAGCAUAAAGAAGAAGCUGGAGGCAAGUUGAGUUCUAGAAAUACUAACGCUCAAAGUAUACAUAAUGCUUUUCAGGGAGGCAGAUGGUCCCCUCAAUUCACUAAACCAGCAUCUGUAAUCUGAUCUGCAGAUGAUAUGCGAUGAGGUGGUUGUCCAUCCCAGCAAGGCUCUUCGGAAACUUCCAAGAGUACAGCAUUUGUCAGCACAGUUAGCUGCAAGAAUAAGGAACGAAGAUGACGAGGUAACCUAUGACUGGAUUCUACUACUUAGAGGAAUAUAUUUGUUUGUAAUUGUUGAGAAACACGAACCACUCUUAGAGUGCAAUAAAAUAAUGAUUCGUUAUCCUUGCAUUACAGUUUGAGAUUCUAAAUACUCUUCAUCCAACUCCAGCUGUUUGUGGUUUACCCACUGAAGAGUCACGCCGAUUUAUACGAGAAUAUGGUAUGUUUAAAUUUAUUUCAUACAAUUAAAAUUCGACUUAAUUUGUAGAUCUCCUAAAAAGAACUGCCUAUUGAGUAUCAAAUUUCUCUCUGAAAUAAGAAUAAUGCAGUAAGUACAGUGAAUUGCAAAUACUAAAUUGUGAUAUUUUCGCAGAAAUUUUUGACCGUGGAAUGUAUGCCGGCCCUGUUGGUUGGUUUGGAGGAGCUGAAAGCGAGUUUGCGGUUGGGAUUAGGUCAGCGUUACUUGGAAAAGUAAGGAAAACUGCAAAGUUGUUAGUUGUUACAGUUUACUGCGCAGUUGCCAUCUGGGAUUCUAAGUUUCUUCUACCAGAUUUGCGUAGUUGUCGUUUCUCACAGUUACAAAUCUCCUCUGUUUUCAGGGUCACAGCACUUUAGUGUAUGCCGGUGUGGGGAUCGUUGAUGGUACAAACCCAUCUUUUGAAUGGGAUGAGCUUGAUCUCAAAGCAUCUCAGGUACCUUUUUUUUCAAAUGGUGAUAAACAGUGUACUUAGUUUUAAUUGAGAGGCUAAUGCUUUUGAUUUUCGGGUUAUUUUCAGUAUGCAAAGUUAUUGCAGUACCAACAACAACAUAUUCGCUACCAAGAGGCUGAAAAUAUGGGAACGGUGAUACGAAUAGAGAAGUAGUAACUAGUAAGUCAUCACAAAGUUCAGCAUUCAUUUUAGCUAGUUAUUGCCCCCUUAUUUGUUUGAUAGUAACCUAGAAGGAAUUCAAUUGAAAUUGUGUAAUUAUGGAAUUCAGAGGAGCAGUAGUGCUGAAAAUACAUUGAUUGAAUCAGCAUGUGAAUGUAAUAGAAUAUAUCUACAGCACAAACCUCCUGGCAAUUGAAACAUCACAAAUUACUCCCUCCAUUUUGCAAUGUUUGUCUGGUCCGUGUAUGUAUUUGAUCAUGUACAAUGAAAUUAUGUCAAAUUUAUGCUCACUGGAUUGAUCAAUAGUAAAUUUAUCCAAUAAGAACAAUACAAAAUUAUGGAAUGGAGGUAGUGACAAUCUCCAGGCUAUUUCUAUUAUGGCAUCGAUCGUGCUGGUGUGCUGAUCAUCACAAAACAAAUCCAUGUCUCUCAAGAUCUUAAAUUCCUUCUGCAGGGAUAUUUUGAUUCGAUUUGAAGGUUCCAAGGUGAGAGAUUUUGUCUUGUAGAAACUAUUGCUUUGUUCAAGUACUUGCCCAGCAGACAGAAAGGUGGCACCAACAGAUUAUCCCCUAAGCAGAGUGUGAUGAUUCGGAAGUUGCAAAAUGUAAAAACAUCCGUAGAAAGCAUUUCGAGAUCAGUAUAUGUACAAUACUAGUAACAAAACCCAGCUAGUGCAAGUGUACAACAACUGCAUAUCUUGAACCCUCCAGCCUGUACUGGGUGUUCAGUUGCUUAUACAACUAUAUGUAUCUUGGAGCAUGUAAACAUACGAAGCUACAAGCCUACAACCUUAUUCAUCAACAUACACAGCUUCGUACACAAACACAGCUACACAGCCUCCAAAAUCUAGAUAAAACUAGGCAGCAAACUAGAACCAGGAGAAAAAAGAGUCUCAUGGUACCUGGACUUCAUGCUUGGGAUAGUAUAUGCCGUCUUGGCUGGCUAGUCUCUCUUCUGGAGCCCAGGCAGAGGCAGGCCACCAUAGAAGAGCAGCACCAGCAUCAGGAGGUAGCCGACGGCGACCAGCCCCACCAACCUGGCGUCGUCCCUGGCCAGGUACGCCGAGAAGGCCGAGUGGACGGUGAGAACGGCGAAAGCCGUCAGCCGGAGCCAUGGCGCGCGAUCAUCACCUCCUGCAGCUGAGGAAGAAGAACCGGCAGCUCUUCUGGCAGAAUGGCUCUUGGAUUUCUUGGCCAUGCAUGGAUGGUGAGAGGAGAGCGCUGCUGCUCCGGAGAGUGGAGGGGAAAGGGGAGCAGUGAGCUCAAUUGCCAGGAAGUUUCCCGGGAGAAUAGCUUUUACUUUCAGGAUUGCUUGUCGCCACAUCAGAGGAUCAGACCUAUGUGAUCCACUGACAAGGGACAAGUUUGUGCUGAUCCCAUGACGACAUCUUUUGACUAUACGGACACAUGGAAAGUCUGUAGGAAUCCGAUACUGGACACAAGGAAUCCAUGCGCGUCAAUGUCACGACUCAUGAAACUCGGUGAAACUCUUAUCAUACGGACAAACAGAAAGUCUAGCUGAAUGUACCUUGGAGCAUUGCAAACGUAGAUAGCUACACCAUAUACAAAGCUACACAAAUCUGUACACAACCUCCAAACCAAGAACACAAAGGCAGGAAACUGGAACCAGCUAAAACAUAACUUUUAAUAUGUACCUAGAUAUAUACUAUGUCUGGAUCUAGAAAACCCAAAACGAAUAAUUUAGGACGGAGGGAGUACCUAGAGAUGCACGGGUGCACAUGUUUAAAAUAGUUUUGUUGGUCACGAAGUUGGGCUACCCAGGGCAAAGUUUAAUAUUUUUUUGGUAAAUAUGCAAAAUAACUGAUAUAACACCCAUAAAAAGAAUUAGAAGGGCCUUUACAACUCGAGACGUUUGCCACACUCACCGGGGGCGCUCAAACGAGUUACAAGAAGGCUCCUUCUCCCUCCAAGGCUCCAACCGCAGCACACUGGCCUACUCCACACUUGACGUCGGGUGAGUGACCAUGUCACUGUCACGACUGAUGAAACCCAAAGAUCACCGUCGGAAAGCAAGUCUUGAGAACAUACCAUCUCUGAAACCCUGUUACUCAACAAACUCUGGUAAAAGCAAAGUCAUUGGUGAAACACGUGUUCAACCUAUCCUCAAUUAGUACAGUGUUUCCAGCUAGUACACGACUCUGACCCUGGAAAAUUUUCUGUUCGCUUCAGCUUAUCAGCCGGCUUAUCAGCCACCGAACAGUGUUUUUCUCUCACAAUAAAUCAGCCGUUUCAGCUUUUUAGCCGGCUUAUAAGUCCAGCCGAACAGGCCCUUUGUAAUCAAGUGUCAGCUCAACUUCUAAAACGUUACAUUAUCCAGGGACCUCACAAGUGUCCAGAUACAAGGAGUUUCUAGUUCAUCUACCAAGGUUCCCUAUAUUCUGGUUGGGUGAAGUCAAACAUGGCAUGUGGUUAGUGAGAGAAUGUCACUUUGUAGCUCCUUGUCCUGAGGGAGGAUCAGCCUCAGGCCUGGCAUAAAACGCAGAAGUUUCUGCGUCCAGUAGGAUUUGCCUCAGAUGCUUGUCUUCCAGAUGUUCCUGCAAACAGUAAAAAUGUCGCACAAUCAGACAUUAUGAGCCAAAAAUAGGACAUAUAUGAAUAGAACAUAGAGUCAGAGGUUAAUGUGACAAGAAGAAGUGUUCACGUAAAAUCUGAAGAAAGCUUGGCACAUGCUUAACAUGAUUCAUUUUACAAACACAGCAAUUACCCUCAGAGUGAUAGAGAUUUGAAACGCAAUCCUGAAAACAUCUAUUACAGUAACUACUCUGAAAAAUGCAGGACAUCACUAGUUCACUAUGGCAGUCAAAUACUCCCUCUAUUCAAAAUAUAAGCUGUGGUUCGACUUGGCAUGGUCUUCAAAAUUACAUUCGGAAUAAUUUCUGUUGCAAUUAAACAAAAUUAUUAUUUAUAACAAGAAAAGUAUUAUAACAUGAAAGCCUUUCUAACAGAGUGGCUAACGGUACUACUUUUGUAUCACAAAUGUAUAUAUUGUUAGGCUAAUUGCUGAUAAAAUAAUUACAGAGUUCAGGGGAAGUAGACAAAUUACAAAUACAGGUUGAGUUUCAAUGUCACAAGUAAUCUGUCCAUCAAUUUCACUGCCUAACAUUCGACUCCAACAAUUGGUUGGUGGCUAUCUCUAUCUAUAGUUGAAAAUAUAUAUUGAUAAUAUGGCUUAUGCCUUAUUGUGAUAUAACCAUCUAGUUCGGGGAAUAAACAGCAUUGAUAUUUGUGCUAGGGUAAUCAGGUUAUGGACAUUGUUCGCUCCAUUACUUAUUCAAUAUAUAGUAUGCAAACCACUGAAUUUGUUUGACAAAAACAGAAGAACAUUAUCGUUUCAACUUUCAAGGAUUACUAUUUGUUUAUGUUGAGAAUACUUUGCUUGCCUGCUAAUGAGUCAUUCAACUAAACUCAUGUUACUAUAAUCAAUUUGGUACCCUGGACCAACUGCGAAGGCAUACAAAAAGGUUUUAGUUGAUUCAUGAAAAGUUGCCUGCGAAUCCUGCAAAUGGUCCUCCCAUCGCAGAAACUACACAACCAACGAGAUCUAUACAUAAACACCCUUCUCCAGAUCUUGCCAAAUCCAAAGCCUCCUAGAAGAAUCCCAGUAUAAACUGCAAAAACAGCGCGGAUUACGCAGUCCCUUCAUCAAAGAAGCGCAGCACAAUCCAGUGACGUCCCCCCAUUGGAGCACCAUCGCAUCCAAGAACAACUUCCGCGCCACGAAACAAGGGGAGAAAAGCUUGGAUCUUUACCGAGCCAGCACAGCAAUAAGAUCAAUCCGUGAUCCCGCGGUGGGAUCACGGCGAGCAAGAGGAGUGAGACAGGAGAGGCGUGGCGAGGGCUGGGGGUUUACCUCGAGGCAGGCGCGGUACUUGUGCCAGUGGUCGGCGCAGUCGUCCUUCUGAAACAGCCCCUUGGCGAACUUGUCGGCGUACCACCGGUUGAAGCACUCGUGGUACGCCGCGCGCAGCUCCGAGCACGCCGCCGCAGCCUUUGAGGGGGCCGACGGCGUCGCCGACGAAGAUGACUUGCUCCGGCCGAACACCAUGACUACUUGCUCCGCCGCCGCCGCCGCCGCUUUGCGCGAACCUGCCUUUCAGUUUUUACCACGUAAGCGGAAGUCAAGGUUUGACGUGAGCCUACUGCCAAGACGUAUUCCUGCACUUUACGUAUCAGGGGACGAAAGCGGAAUUGCAUUGCAGGGCCGAUGCGAAAAGAUGUCUACUUUGGAGUCAGACUGUUUUGUAUACAAACUCCUAAAGUGUUUAGUAGUGUACUAAAGUACCCUCAAAUUACUAGUCCUAAAGUUUAAGUUUAGUGCAGGAAUAUUUGGAUGGACUAUUAAUCUUUAGAACCUUAGAGGGAAAAUAUCAUUUUUACCCUCUCAAUUACUCCUCUAAACUACCCCUGCACUGUUCACGUCAUUAAUGCAUGCGAGACCAAUAGGGGUAAAGGGGGACUUGAUGACCACUUUUAGAAGAAAUAGGAUCCAUUAGGACCCCUUGGCCCUCCUAAUGAAAAUUGCCCUCUUAAAGUUUAGGAGUGCACUUUUAGGACCCAUGUUUGGAUGCACAUGUCCUAAAAGUGUCAUAAAAGUGAACUCCUAAUCUUUAGGAGGGUGUAUCCAAACAGGGCCUGAAUCCAAAAUACUCUCCCAUUCCAAAUAUGAAUCUAGAAAAGGUAAAACAACAUGCAAUUUGGAAUGGAGAAAGUAGAAGAGAAUAAUAAUUAGAAAAGCAAGAUAAGGUGAGAAAGUGAUCGACCUGAUAGCAUGAGAGGAAGAUGUUAUAUACUCCCUCCGUCCCAAAUUAUAGGUCGUUUUGACUUUAUUAGAUUCAUAAACUUUGUUAUGUACUUAGAUAUACCCUAUGUCUAGAUGCAUAAUAAUAUCUAUGUAUCUAUAAAAGCCAAAACGACCUAUAAUUUGGAACGGAGGGAGUAUGGACGAAGAUGCAUGUCGACUUGUCGAGGAUGAGGAGUUGAGGACUACGGACAGGGUCAUUUAAAAUUGGUUCUUACAUUAACUCUAUGAUGAAGAGAAUGAUCUCCGUCUAGUUGACUCAUAAUAAUAUUUCUAAUUUCAGUUACCUGAUGGCACUCUCAGGUUGGUCGGCUUAAAUUUGGCGAUUUUGAAAUUGUUAUGGUUAAAAAAGAUGUAUGCAUUAUGUGAUUAUUAGUCUGAUGUAAGAAGUGCUCAUGUAUUUGUCAUUAUUUGUGAUUCCAUCAGUAUUAUUGUCAUCUAUUUUUAUUAAGUUGCAUGCACCAACCAGAUCAAUGCCAAAGCUUAAGUUGAUGAGAAAAAUAUAGGAACUCGAUUAUAUUUUAACACUCCCCCUCACAUAUAGGCUAACUCAAACCUCAAACGUGAAAAAUAGGUAUCGGCUGCAAUUAUUGUAUUUUAAUCAUGUCUGAAGGGAUUCGAACUCGAGAUCUCUAGCUUUAAUACCAUAUUAAGUUAUAUGCACUAACCGGUUAAAUCAAAAAUAUUAAGAUGAUAAGGAAAGUGGACAAUCGUACUUCAACAAUUUUAUCAUACAAAAAUCUACUUUACUAGUUUCCAUAAAACUUUAUUUAUUUAUUUAUUAUCUUGGAACUUAACAUAUUUUUCUAUAAUUUUGAUUCGAGAGAAAAUGCAGCUACCAAACCAGCAGCAGCACAUGGUGCAGCGGGAGCAGUGUCUGAUCAAAUCACGGAUUGUGCUCACAAGGCCAUAGAUUAUUCAUUUCAGCAGCUUUUUCCUCCCUUUUUCCGGGCAUGAUGAUUGUGAUAGACAAAUCGGUCACCAAUCGUGUCUUGAAGUAUUAACCAACGUUUGAGCACACAAUUGCAAGCAAGCUUUGAUGCUACUGCUAGCGUGGAGAUUGUGUGUCGGUCCGGGCGACCAAUAAUUAAUCGUACCUGUUGAUUCGUAUCCCCUCGCGUUGUUGUCUUAUGUGUCCAAAAAAAAACACAGUUAACGUCACGUAUGAUUGUACUACCCCAGUAUUCAACUCAAUAAAUCACAUUUCAGUAUUAUAUGAUUGUGUGAGCACUUUUUUGUGUUGAUUCCAUGCCUAAGUUCUGUGUUCUUUCAUGCCCAGGAGGAGUUGUUUGAUGAUGAAUGAAAGCUUUAAAAUUAAUUUUGACAGUCGAAUGAAAGUUACAAGUACUUUUUGUUGGAAGGAUUCGUACCUGACAGUAAUCCAAGCUAGCUGUAAAAUCUGGACAAGUCCAGUUGGAAAGUGGUGCAGACCAGAUUGGGUCGGCACGAUGAUGCUCGAGAUCGUCAGCAUAGGAUCGAUCCUGCAAAGACGGACGCAACAUAUAACGCAACGGGACACGUUCGCGACGGACGCAACGAAGAAGCCGGCGGCGGGAGGCAGCAUCCUCGGACCUCGGUGGCGGGCUGACAAGCCGAUUCCUCCCGUCGUCCCGGCCGGGCGGCGGCAGGUGCACGGGACAAUGGCGGCGGACGCGAACGGUCGAUCGGCGGCGGCGGGAUCGAUGCCGCGGUUCAGUGCCGGCCGGCCGGCCGCCCGCCACUGGACCGUGGUCGGCGGCAGGCAUGCACACACCGAACCUAUCAGUGGGCCCUCCCCGAAAUAAAAGACACUAGACACAUGACAGCAGGCCCAGUGGCAGAGCAGUCACUGCCUCACCACUGACUGACCGGCCCUCACUUCCAUUCCAUCACUCGCUCCUCGCCACACCACCAGGCUGGCUGGCUCGGGCCGGGCCCACCUGCCGUCCCGCGCCCGCUCCCCGCCAGCCGCUAGCGCUAGUGCGGCGGUUCUCAUCGUUGAGACCCGCCACCACAACCAGCCGAGCGCGUCCAGCGAGCCCGACGCUGACGCCCAUCGUAUCCCUCGGCCGCUUCCCCCUGGCGGUACGUGGCGGGCCGUGCCUCCCACUGCGCCCGCCGCGGUCAACGGACGUGCCGGCCUUCGCCGCCUACCUACAGUCCGGCUACUUAUAUACCACGCGGCCUCUCCCUCCCUCGGCCUGCGUGUGGUGGUGCGUGGGCGCGGCACGGCGGACGGGCACCGGCGGCGAACCCCGGUGCGUGCAGCGUGCGUCGUCCAUGGCUCGAAGCUUGUUGGCUUUGAUGGCCGCGGCGGCGGCGGGGCUGCUGCUCCUCGUCGUGGCGUCGCCGGUUGUUGUUGUUGUUGCCGGCGACAGCGGCGGCGGGCGGGGGCUGGAGGAGGAGGCCGGCAAGGUAACUGAUGACGCGCCCUGCUUCAAGCUUCAUUAUUGCUUGCUUGCUUACUUACGUGUAUAGCUAGCUGGCCGAGUCUCUGAGUGUGGCCCACGACACACACCCCAAUUAGUAUAUACCCCACCGUGGCCGUCUCUGGAGUAAAAUAUUCUUAUCUGCGCGGUUGUCUGUUUGUUACAUGGACGCUGCUGCUGCACCAGCAAACAAGCGUAGCGAUAGGAGUAACGUUAGUGUCAGGGGUUUGACUGCCACGGCCAGUGUUGACCGUGACGUGUGAGUGUAACGGUGGGCUAAUCUGCUGCACACGGUUCUGAUUCCAGGUAUACACAUAUGCCAAAAAGUUCACUGCCACAGUGAGUGAGUACCGACUGUGACGGGUCAGUCAAUAAUCUGUCGGGCCCCUCCGUUCCAAAUUGUAGAUCGUUUUAGCUUUUUGAGUUGCAUAGAUGUUUGUAUGCACCUAAAUAUAGUGUAUGUCUAGAUGCACACAAACAUCUAUGAAUCUAGAAAAACUAAAAUAACCUACAAUUUAAAACGGAGAAAGUAGAUCGUUUAUUGACAGAGAGUCAAAGACACAUCGUUGUUCCGGAACACACUUAGAACAUGCUUUUGCAUCACAACCCUCGCAUCCAUGUUUGCACGCCUAUCCCGAGCGGUAAACGUCUUUAUAAAAUAAUAAAAGGAGGGAACAUCUUAUGACAAGUGUAGAGCUACACGGAAGCAGUGUUAUAGGUCGUCUAAUUCAGUGUUAUGUAUGAUUUUUGAUGAUGUACGGUUGAGAAUAGAUGACUAUGAGCUAAAAAUUAGGACUAUGAGUCCACCUCCUCACCAUUAUGUGGGUUAUUGUUGCCACACAACUCAUAAAAUUCAUUCUUUUCUAUCCACAAAUUAAGGGACGUGGUAUUGCACGAGAUAACUAAAAAGACAACCCAUGUAUGAGCUGUGAAGACAUCUCAAGAUUACAUGUCAAUGCAUAAGAUCAUCUAUAAGAUAUGUACUUACACUUAAAUAAGUUAGGCACUCCAUAACAUCUUAUAUUAUACUCCCUCCGUUCCAAAUUACUAUUCAUUUUGACUUUUUUUAGAUACACACAUUUUGAUAUGCACAUAGAUACAUAGUUAUGUCUUGAUACAUAGCAAAAAUGAUGUAGCUAGAAAAGUCAAAUAAACAAUAAUUUAGGCCCUGUUUGGUUACUCUUGCUAAAGUUUAGCAGCUAAAAUUUGCUAAACUUUAGUUGCUAAACUUUAGCAAAAAUUGUUUGGAUACUCUUGCUAAAAGGCAUUUAAUGAGCUGUAAAAAGACCUAUCUACCCUUAUUAAAGGUGCGCAGGAGGGGGGAGAUAAGCAAUAAAUAAGAGGUAUAUGUUGUCCAGCCCACCUUUUAGCAAGUUUUAGCAACUUUAGCAAGUUUUAGCAAGGAUGUUUGGCAGUUUAGCAGCUAAAAGUUGCUAACCUUCAACUAAACAACCCCUAAAGAGGUUGUUAGUUAGUUAAAGUUUUGUAUGGAAAGACCACGUGUGAUAUCCAAUCUGAGGAAAGAAAUAUUAAGGUCUUGUUUAGUUGGCCAAAUUGGGAGGUGCCAAAUUACUGUGCUGGCACUGUAGCACACUGUAGCGUUUCGUUUGUAUUUGUGAAUUAUUGUCCAAACAUUGACUAAUUAGGCUCAAAAGAUUCGUCUCGCAAAGUACAACAAAACUGUGCAAUUAGUUUUUAAUUUUAUGUACUCCAUGCAUGUACCGCAAGUUUGAUGUGAUGGAGAAUCUUCUUUUUACAUAGUGUCAAAGUUAGGAGUUGGGGGUGAAGUAAACAAGCGCUAAGUGAACUUUGCGUGUAUCUCGGGCCGUCAUGAAUGGAUCGAUCUGCCUACGGUCGUUUCUGAAUUCCGACGAGGGCUAAGAUCCCAGGAAACCCUUUCGUGAAGUCAUUACCCAGAGCAGAGGCAUCGGCACCCGCACCCGCACCCCUGUCUGCAUGCGCGCGAGAUCCUCCAGCCUGUCUGCAUGCCUGCCCCGAAAUGCGUCGAUUCACACGAUCCCAUUCUUUUACGCGAUCCGCGCGGGACCUCUCCGUCGCCGCGCCGAGAGGUGACGUGCCCGCUGCUGCUGCGGCUCUCGAUGGAUCAGCAGUCAACGCAGCGGCGCUGGUCCGAUCCGCAGGCCGCGCCGGUACAGGACUAGUAUGAGGAGUGGUGGCGUCCCAUCGCCCGCCCUCAACUGAACUGAGCUGGAGGCGGUCGAGUGACAGCCUGACAGUGAGGAGGAGUCGAGCUGAGUGGUGGUGGCACUGCCGGAACAGAGAGAGAAGGGGGAUACGAGGAGAAGACGACAGAGGCGGCGGCAUGCAGCGGGCGUCCACGGUUAGGGCCGCCGGCGGCUCCGGCGUCGUGAUGCUGGUGCUCGUCCUCGUGUUUUUGCCGGGCGCCAGCGGCGGCGACGUGGUGACCCAUGGCGGCAGGAAGAUGGGGCGAGGCGGGGAGGCCCGGUACUUGAACAAGGUAGCGUCCUCCCUAGCUAGCCAAGCGAUGUGAUGUGCCGCACGAGUAAGUAGUAGUAUUCGAUGGGCGUGACUUUUCGUUUCGAAUUCAAUCAACGCGUCCAUCGGUGUCUUCCUCAACAUUUCAAUCCAACAAUUUUUUAAAUUGCCACAACUUCCUGUAAAAUGGUUUCAAACUGUUACAAUUUUUAUGUAGUUUGCGUACAAUUCAAUGUCAAAACGACACACUCAUAAUUUGCGUAUGGUGGGCUUGUCCAUUCCUGCAUUCUCAGUUUAGGCCCUCUCGUGUUCGUUUUUGGCCCAAUAGGCCGUUAGUGGGCUUCAGGACGCGGCUAAUCAAUCACGCGACGCAGGCCGCGAAUGUCGAAGCGGCGGCGGCACCUCCUCGCGCCGCGCCGGCGGCGCCGCCGCCGCCGUCGGCGGGGUCGCCGGGCCAGUUCCGCGGGCAGGCGCGCCUCCCGCGCUUUGCCGCGCCGCGCCACUACGACCUGCGGCUCCGCCCCGACCUCGACGCCUGCACCUUCACGGGCACCGCCGCCGUCACCGUCGCCGUCUCCGCGCCCACCCGCUUCCUCGUCCUCAACGCCGCAGACCUCUCCGUCGAUCGCGCCUCCAUCCGCUUCCGGGUACGUACGCGUAGGCCGAAAUCUCUCGAAAAAAUAAAAGGUGCUAGCAUACAUUUUGGGGCUGAAACGUUUCCUUGGGAGUCCGGUUCUGGCAGGAUUUGGCGCCUAAGGAUGUGGUGUUUUUCGAGGACGAUGAGAUCCUGGUGCUGGGGUUCUCCAAUGAGCUGCCACUCGGCGAGGGCGUGCUCAGUAUGAAGUUCAACGGCACGCUCAACGACCAGAUGAGGGGUUUCUACCGGAGGUAUGGGUUUCGUAGGAUCCUAAACUCGUUUAUUUUUGGCACUUCUACUCAUUUAUUGCCUUAGUUCGUAGAUGGGGUUAUUUGUGGUUCCUUUGAAUAGUGCUAGCUCCUAAAGUACAUGAUCAUCUAUCGAAGGAUCAUCAUAUUUCAUAUCAUAGGCAAAAGUUAAUAAAACUGGACAUUGUGGUUUGCAGAUACAUACUUGUUCCACCAAUAUUCAUGAUCACUGACCAGUCCCAGUUAUGCACUUGCUAUGUUAUUUAAAAAGCAUACAUUUCAGGAAGCUGUUCUUCAAACGAGCAACUGAUUGAGAGCUAUUUUUAAAAUUUGAGUGCGCAAUUCAUACCCACUCUCUUCCUUCUCCUCGUUCUGACAAGUUCUGUUCUUUUGCGCUACUAAUUUUGAAUGCUGUUUGAUUGCAGUAAGUAUCAGUAUAAGGGGAAUAUGAAGAAUAUGGCGGUAACACAGUUUGAGUCUGUGGAUGCUCGACGGUGCUUCCCAUGCUGGGAUGAGCCUUCAUUCAAGGUGAUUACAAUAAUAGAAUGAAAUAUCCAAUAAUCUGGUUUUGCUCCUUCAGGUGUUUCAUCUAUUACGCUUUUGUGCUCUGAGCAACAUUCUAAUUGCACUUGAGUACUUAUAGAGUAGCAAAUUUUAUUCCAACCUAUAGCUUUAUGCUCUUCUCACAUACACACGCCUGAAAUAUCAAUGAAAAGUGACCUAUCUUGUAACGCUUCCAUUUUGCUUUUUCUAUUUUUAGGCUAAGUUCAAGCUUACACUUGAAGUACCACCUGGGCUGGUGGCAUUGUCCAAUAUGCCAAUAGCUAAUCAGACACUUACUGGUCCUUUCAAGACUAUCAGUUAUGAGGAAUCACCUCUUAUGUCAACUUACUUAGUGGCUAUAGUUGUUGGUUUGCUUGAAUAUAUAGAGGGUGUAACACCAGAAGGUAUCGACUCAACUUUUCUAGCAUUACUUUGACAGCUUUCAUUGAGAGUGUUGGUAUCAUCUUUCUUUUUCCCUUUUACCAUUUUCUUAAUCUUGUUUAAUAACUGCAUAAAGGCACAAAAGUUCGUGUGUACACUCAAGUUGGCAAGAGUAAUCAGGGGAAGUUUGCACUGGAUGUUGGAGUGAAGUCAUUGCAUCUCUAUAAAGAGUAAGAUCAACCAUACUCUAGCUUGUAAACAGGCUUGCAGAGAACCAUAAGAAACGUUUAUGAAUAAUCUGUCUACCUGUGGUUAACUAUAGGGUAGAACCACUAAUAUAAUGUUCAUUUUCCACUUUUUAGUUACUUCGGUACUCCUUAUCCACUUCCCAAGUUGGAUAUGGUUGCUAUUCCUGAUUUUUCUGCUGGAGCCAUGGAGAACUAUGGGCUGGUUACUUUCCGUGAAGUAGCUUUGCUUUUUGAUGAGGAGUCUUCAUCAGAAUCAAGCAAACAGAAUGUACCUUUCGUAACUCACAGAGUUCUUUGUUGCAUAACUUUCCACCAUAUAUGUUUUACUUGUUAUGAAUGAUGAGUUACAUCCACACUUGAUUGGUGCUUUAAGAAAAUCAGAAUAUAUUUGAAAUCUAUUAUCAAAUACAAGUCAAUUGAUUUCACAUUUUCAUAGUUAGAUCCGGCACUUUGGAUGAUUGAGUACCAGCUACAAAGAUGUCCUUGCUUUAAAGAUCUCAACAUUUCUGUGUUUUAGAUUGCAAUUACUGUGGCACAUGAGCUGGCUCAUCAGUGGUUUGGCAAUCUUGUAACCAUGGAAUGGUGGACUCACUUGUGGCUAAACGAAGGGUUUGCUACAUGGGUAAUCAAUUUGAGAACCUAAAAUUUCAAAAUUUUCAGUUCUUUGUCUGCCACUAUAUACUUAGUAAAUAGACUUUUUUUUUACAGAUGAGUCAUCUAGCAGUAGAUUCUUUCUUUCCACAAUGGAAUAUUUGGACACAAUUCCUUGAUGACACAACCGCUGGUCUCAAAUUGGAUUCACUUGAAGAAUCUCACCCUAUUGAGGUAACCUCCUUUGAGAUUUACUAUGAGCUAUUGAUAUGGUAGUAGGGAUAGCAGGAAGAACCUGUUAAUCCCUCCCUCUAGAGGCUUGGACCGCUUUUAGGGUUCUUGCUUGAUUACAACUCGACCUGCAGGGGGUUAGACAAACCCCCCGUUUUUUUGCUAAGAGAAGGACCUUCUCACGCAGGUCGAGAAAAUCCUUGAACCUCUGCCCCACCCUUACACAUGGCUUGUAGCCCAUUGUGAGAUUACCACUGGGCUGGCGACCACUGCAACUACCCCAGCUGUCACUUGGGCCGGGCCUUGACCUGUGCUUUGGUGUGGUGACAGAUGAGGGGAUUUUUUUGACCCCAGCCUGAAAUUCGCUCCCACGGGGUGUCGAACUCAGGACCUGAGGAGUUGCUACUGAGAGCAUCUAACCAACUCAGCUAGAGGCCUGUUCGCUUGCUUGAUUACAACUGAUGAUGCGGCUAGGCAUUUAUAGCCGCUAAGACUAACAGAUAACUGUAAAAAAUUGACAACUUGAUCUAAUCCUGGAAAAGCUAACAAACCAACUAAUCCAAUCUAAUACAUGCGUUUCAUGCAUUAUGUUUGUUAGUUGCUUUGUAUGUAACUAAAGACAUUGCAUGUUUUAAGUUUGCGGUAGAUUUUAACAGUUUACUAGGUUGCAGUAGAAAUAUAUGAGUACAUUGUGGAGCACUAGGGCGAGGAGAUAAGAAAUUCCUCGAGCCCCAGCUCUUAAAGCACCAGGACCUAGUGCCCUCAGAAGAAUCAAACUUGGUAAAAAAAAGUUAUGGUCUCAGGUGUCCUGGUAACAGUAGUUAGAGCCUUUUUUUUUGCCUUUUUUAUUUUCCUUUUAGUUAGAAUUUUGGGGACAAAUCCCAGCCUUAAUUUAUUUUUGGGUUGAGAGGGAUUAAACUUGGGCUGAGGGGUCAAGAAACUUUGCUGACCAGGAGCCCAUCCCAAUCUCAUUCUUGAAAUGCCUAUGGAAUAUAAACUGAAGCAUAAACUUUUUUUCUCGAACACGCAGGAGAGCUGCGUAUCAAUAUAUUAAGAAGAGAAGGGUUUAAAGAAACCCAAAAUUACAGAGCAGGUUUUUGUUUUGGGCAAACCUGUACAAAAAUCCCCUAAACUAUUAGAUAUAAAAACCUUUCCUAAAGCACCAGGACCUAAACUAGACCAAGGACACCAACUGCUCUUGUGAGGGCACUAGGGCAAGGAUAAGAAAUUCCUCGAGCCCUGGCUAUAUUCCAUAAAUGCAGAUCCUCUCUGAUCACAUUAUAGACUCCAUUCCAUCGAACACACAACGAUUGUGAUGGUUCCAAACUGACCAUGCACCUAGAAUGAUGAUAGAAUUUAGCCCCUUCUUGACCUGACCUGAUACUUAGACCUGGGAUUGGAUUGGGCUUAGUCCAAGUCCAAUUGGACUUUGGCACUUGGAUUCAACUGGAUUUGGACGUAGUUGCACGUGGACGUCCAUUUGCCUUGACAUCCAACAGCGUUGGAUUCCCUUGUACAUAAAGAAUUGGAUAAUCCAAGUCUGAUUGGACUUUGAUCUACAGAGGCAUGAUAUUAGCCUGGGAACAGCGCGCGGAACGAGGACGGCAACUGAUGGGCAGCUACGAGCUGCGGGAAAGGAGUGCGUGGGCCGGGGCCGACCAUCCACCGCGGUGUCGCUGCUAAGUAGAUGAUGGUGUGGAGCUCCCUGGCGUCCCGCUCGCCGCCGCUACAGCCUCAAGACUACGAGACCUUGAGAUUCAGCCGUCGGUGCCGCCGCGCCGCCGACCUCGGUGGCGAUUCCGACGAGGUCCAACGCUGGGAAUGGGACAGCCCUAUGUGGGGCCACCGCUGGAUGAGGCAUGUUGAUGAGUGCCUAUGUGACUCGCAUGCCGUCGCGGCAGUGGCAGCAUCAUGUCGCGAGGCGCAUUAGAUUUUUUCCGAGCAACAAUGGGGCGUCAGGUGGAUAGCUCGACAGUUUCGUGUCAACGGCGGCCGCACACACAGGCAUAAUUCCUCAGCGUCGUUGGUUAAUUGGAUUUUGGAUUUUGAGGUGAGUGGAUAGGAUUGGAUUGGACGUACUGUAAAUUAAGUUGGAUUACAAUGGAUUUGGACUUCACAAAGUUGGAUGUGCUUUGGACUCCUUUUGAGUUGGAUUUGGAUACUAGUCCAUUCCCACCUCUACUGAUACUCUCUCACUUGCCUUUUCCCACCAAUCAUCAAAGGAAGUCUCAUCAGGUUGUGGGGCUAGAAUCUGCAAGCCCACACUUGUAGCAAUCUGAACCAAACUUGCCGGGUGAAGACGCAAGAAACGAGCAAGUGAUCAAUUGUUUCAUGCAUUUGGUCACAAAGAGGACAUAAGCUAUGAUAAACCUUACUGCAAUUUUUUUAUUUAAAACUUAGGGACUAGUUUCCGCAACUAACUCCAAGGCUUAGUUGUUGGCGUUGAGCCGCUGACAUUUUCACCUUCUAGGUACUAAGUUGUGGUCAAUUUUGUAACAAUAUUCCUUUUUUCUCAGGUUGAAAUACAUCAUGCUAGUGAAGUUGAUGAAAUUUUUGAUGCCAUAAGCUAUGAUAAGGGUGCUUCUGUUAUUCGCAUGCUACAAAAUUACCUUGGUGCUGAGCGUUUUCAGGUUUGGAUUGGCUCUCCUUGAAACUCUAUUUCACUAUUGAGCCUUGAUAUUCUGUAAUGCCUUGAGUCAGCAUCUUCGGCUUCAUUAUGCUGUUUAACAAUGUAUGGAAUCACCAUGAUCCCUUUACCUCUUGUUCUGAUAUAAAUUGGCAACAGUAUCAUCUCAUUUUAUCUCUUCAUUUAGUUGCCACAUGUGUGAAUUGCCAUGAAUAAAACCUUGAUCCUCUAGUUGUUUCAAAAAGUGAUGUUUUAUAGACAAAACAUUGAUCCUUUAAGUUCGGGAAUGGGAACAUGCUAGUCCAAACCUGGGGCGCAAUCAUGCUGACCAUUUUGGUUUGGGCACUCUAAACAUUUAGAAGAUGUACUGUAUGUGUUAUUUCUAUGUUUCUGAGGGCACAGUAUAUCCUUUUCUUUCUAACUUGCCCUAACCAUGCUUAGUGCAUACUCAGUUGUGCAAGACUCAUCAAUUGGUUAAGUGCCAUGAAAAUUUGUUUUAUUGGUCAAGUAGACUAAAAUUGGAUGAUUCGUAGAUGGAAAAUAUGUAAUUGGGAAAUUGGUUAAUCAGUGCCAAUAAUCCAUGAAUUAGGAAGUCGCUGAAAAGGAGUUUUCAUAUCCUGUUAUCAAGGAUCUUGUUUUUAAAAAAUACGCCAGGGUAUCUUUACCCGAGUCCCAUGUAAAAAGGAUAUGUUAAACUGAUACUUUUUUAAAAAUGGCUGAGCAAGCUAUAGCUAUCUUUGGCUCCUCUUUCUUUUAUUGCAAGUUAUCUUCGUUUUUUAUUGAUCAGAUUAUGUAUCUAUCUAUAUCUUUCAUAUUUUUUAUUGAUAUUUAUUUUAUUCAGUGAAGACUGAUUUUUCCUGCCUUUGGCUGUCCAGUUUUAUUUGCUUUUACUCUCUGGUUCCUUGAGUAGAUCUUUUAAUACAUUUUAUUGUGCUAAAUGUGGGAAAUUUUUUCUACUCUUUCAGAAAGCAUUGGCUUCAUACAUAAAAAAAUUUGCCUACUCAAAUGCUAAAACUGAGGACCUGUGGGCUGUUCUUGAAGAGAAAUCUGGUGAACCCAUCAAGAAUUUGAUGACUACAUGGACAAAGCAACAAGGGUAUCCUGUUAUUAAUGCAAAGCUUAAAGGGAAUUUCCUAGAACUUGAACAGGUUUUUAUAAGAAACUGUUCUUCCUAUGUAAUCUUUGCAUUCAUCAAAAUGUGAACUGCUGAAUUGGGUGUAAAAACAUGAUGGUUUGUUUUAAAUGGAAAAUGUAGCAUGCUAGUCAUCACAUAGAUGAUAGAUCUGCAUAUUCUUGUUGUAUGGUCUUUUGCUUCAGCCUUAAGAAGUUACUAUUUAUUUUGUUGCAGGCACAGUUUUUGUUAGAUGGAUCCUCUGGCCCUGGAAUGUGGAUUGUCCCUAUAACCGCAGGAUGUGGUUCAUAUGGUAUGCAGAAAAAAUUUCUACUGAAAGGAAAAAGUGAUAGGCUGGAUAUAAGAAACAUUUCUUCACAGUGUGGUAACCAAGAGAAGAGUGGGAACUUUUGGAUUAAAUUGAACAUUAAUCAAACGGGAUUUUAUAGAGUGCAAUAUGACGAUAAUCUUUCAGCUGCACUUCAAAAUGCAUUACUGUCCAAGAAGCUCUCUGUAAUGGAUAAAAUUGGUAAGCACCAUUGUGAUACUAUUUAAUUUUCUUAUCACUGUUUUGGUGAUAGGUAUCAUAACAUUAACACUGCAGGCAUUGUGGAAGAUUCGCAUGCCUUGUCUAUGGCCUGCAAGCAAACCUUGACAUCGUUGCUACGCUUACUGUAUGCUUAUCGUGAUGAAGCUGAUUACAGUGUUCUUUCACACAUCAAUACUGUAUGUAAAUUUUGUAUAACCAAUUGAUUCCAUGAUCUUGAUUUUGAAUAUGAUUUAAAGAUAAUUUUCUAUGCAAUUUCCUUUCGUUUCACAGGUGAGUUUAAGUGUUGCUAAAAUAUCAGUUGAUGCUACUCCUGGAUUGGUUGGUGACAUCAAACAACUUCUGAUCAAGCUUCUCCUGCCACCUGCCGUGUAUGUCAAAUGAUGUCUUACAUCCCCUGCUUCUGAGCUACUUUAAUUGUCAUUGCCCUGAGAAUGAUCUUGUUUCUGUUUUGCAUGUUUGCUAACAUGCGUUGUUAUGUUACUGUCUAUUUCUAUGACUUAUCUUCUGUUUUCUCCACUUUGGCAAAAUGACAGUGUCCUUGUUCUUUUUUUCAGAAAAUUAGGCUGGGACCCCAAGAAUAGUGAGAGCCACCUGGAUGCGCUGCUUAGACCAGUGCUCUUGGUUGCUCUUGUCAAACUUGGGCAUGAUAAGACUAUAAAUGAGGGUGUUAGGCGUUUCGGUAUCUUUGUACAUGAUCGCAACACUUCACUUCUUCCUCCUGAUACCAGAAAGGUCCCUGCCUUUUUCUUUACUUUACAUGAUGCUCUUGCGCUUUACUUAUCUGUGUGUCUUGCAAUGUUAUACAGGCUGCAUACCUCGCUGCAAUGCAGAAUGUUACUAGUUCAUACAGAUCUGCUUAUAAUGAUCUUCUGAAAGUCUACAGGGAGUCAGAUGAAGCAGAGGAAAAAUCACGUGUCUUAAGUAUGUAUUUUUUCAACCAUUAUUAAUUUAACAAAGCUUGCUGAUGAGUUGGGUUGUUCUGAAUGCUUUAUCUCCUUGUUCCAGGCACAUUGUGUUUUUGCAAGGAUAAAAAUAUUGUUCUUGAGUCAUUGAAUCUCCUUUUUACCAAUGAGGUUGGCCUUUUUUUUCUUUGUUUGGUUCUCCAUGAUGACAGUGAAAGCUCAAUCGAAUGAGCUUGUACUCAUAUGCUGACUACUGUUAGAUGCCAUGGGAUCUCAUUUGCCUCUACUGCUUGCAGGUUCGCAGUCAAGAUGCAUAUUAUGUACUUCAGGGUCUUGGCGUGGAGACACGUGAAACAGCUUGGCUGUGGUUGAAGGUAAAAUCUCUAUUAGUAUGUACUAAAAGGAAGAAGCCAUCAAAUUUGUUUGACUUCCAACAUACAAGUUGAAAGUGUCGAACCUGUUACAAAUAUGGGGUUCCUGUUCAAAUUCUAGAAGAAACAAAAUAUCCUCCCGUAUGAUGUCAUCUUUUGUACCAAAAGUUUGAAAUUCCUGCUUGGCAACAGGGCCUAGGAUAUUGUAGUCCAUGGAGACAUCACGGUGAAAUAUUUAUAAAGGAAUGAGUUUACUGUUCCAUCUCCAUGCAGUUUUGUCGUUGCUAAAAUUUUGAAAUCACACCAACUUCCCUUCACCGAUACCUUGAAAUAUCUGUGCAAAUUAAAAGUGGGAACCAUUUUUUUUUCCUUGUGGGUAACCAUGAACUAUUUGAAAGCACGCUGCUUACAUUGCACUUGUUCUGUGGGUGCAGAGCAGCUGGGACCGUAUCACAAAGAAAUACAGUGACACACAAGAUGGAGGUUUUAUCAGAUAUAUCGUUACAUUGGUAAGUUUGUCACCAUUCUCCAUUUCUAUCCCCAUCAAUCAGCUGAACCUCCCUUUGUAUCGUGGCCAUUUCAGUUCUCCUCCAACGAGAAGGCAGCGGAGUUCUCCAGCUUCUUCGCCAGCCGCAAGAAGCCCGAGUUCCAGAGGACGCUGAAGCAGAGCCUCGAGAGCGUGCGGGUGAACGCGAGGUGGAUCCAGGGCAUCAGGAGCGAGACCAGGCUCGCACAGACGGUGCAGGAGCUGCUGCGGAGGCCCUGAUCCAUCUGCCUUGUUGCGUUGCAGGGGUGUGUGUGGCUGGUAAUAAGGUGACGGCAAAGAUGGCAAUGGUGUGCGUUUGUACAUUCUCAGUGUGAAAAGGUUCUCUCGUAGUGUUCUCUGCACCAUAUUCGGUUCAAUUUUUAGCUGUAUAUCGGUGAUUUGGAUAUCUGAUGUGAGAAGUAUCUAUCUAUAUUAUCUAUAGAAAGUAUAUGGAGCGAGUUUUUUUUAAAUUGAAAAUAACUGUAAAAGAGCAGGUUUUUUGAAAAUACUUUCACCCAAGCAACCUACCUGUGCCCCUCACGAUGGCCCCAUCGGACAGGGGAGAGUAAAAAAAUUUCCUUGGAGAAACACCUAAAUACAGGAAAAUGAAUUCACCUGUUCUUUUUGCCGCACGAUAUCCCAUGCCCCACCUCAGAUGGCAAUGGGUUUUUACCCUGUUAAUACAUGGGCGUGGGUCAAUUUUCUAACCCAUGAGUUUGUUCAUGGGCACAAAUAUAAUCCCUACCUGUUUGAAUUAUAGGUAUGGAUUUAUUCCUAUAUUACCCAAACCUGUAAAACCCGUGGAUUUUUUAAACCUGGUCCAACCUAGUGCAUGUCGUUACUUUAAUUUUCGAACUUAUAAUAAAUUUGACCUCCCUCCUCCCUACUUUGCUGAAUUCUGAAUGUGUUGGUGGUGGUUGAAGGUGUUGUAGUGUUUAUAUAUGCGGUGGAUUGGUGACUUUGUGUGAUAUUGUGGUCACUUGAUUAUAAGUUUUAUUCUAGGAAAAAGUCUACAUAACCCCCAACAUAUACAUGAUGGCUCACUUUACCCCUCUAACCUACAAAACCAGAUUUUUUACACCCUAAACUAGUGAAAACCAUUUAUCUAAUCCCCUAAGAUGGUUUUGUAGCUUGGUGUUGGUGGUUACAAAAUGCUCAAACAGUAGAGGGUGCCUCUAGAACAAGACACUUAUCCAAAAAGCUUCUAGGGACUGAGUGACUAGGAUGUUGUGUUCUGUUUAGCCCAUGGCUCUUCUUAUUUAUAGCCUUAGCGGACGGGACCUUUUCGAUCAAAAGACCCUAAUGCCCCCGGUACGGCGCCCUCAGAGGGGGAUCAACUAGGAGGGGGCAGCAGGGAUAACAAGGUAAAGGACCUCUCAUGGGUACGGGGUCCUCCGUACCUAGGGCUAACGUGGCGGUCGCUUUCCGUAUUGGGGGCGGGCGUAGUGCCCCUCGUACCUAGGGUUGACGCUGUGGUUGCCUUUUCUCUUUGGAUGAUGCCUAAAGGUAAAUAUUCCGUUUCCCGGACCCCAGCUUGGAGACCGGACCUGGACUCCCCACCCGUCGGUCCCUCCUGGAGGGACGAUGCCCCCACCGGAAUUGGGGGUCUUUCGGGAGAGCCUUGAACGACUUGGAUGGGGGGCCCUCACCUUCCCUGCUAUCCCGCGGGCUGUCCCGCCCUCAUUGCCUCCCACCGGGGGCUUCAAGGUUCAUCAGCUGGCCCCGUGCAUGCUGCCUUCGGGGACCCCCUGAGGUUUCAGGACCCCCCCCUCUCGCUUCCCUCCUUCAUGACCUCUCACCUUCCUCGCCUCCAUGGCCCGGGAAGGUGGGGGAAGGACGGGGCGAUUUCCCAUAGGGAGAGGCACCUCCGGAGGUACGGGAUUGCUCCGAUGGGAAACGACCCCUUCGGCCUGUGAUCUUAGGCCAAUUCCUCAGUAUCAACCCUUUCUCGGGGAUCAUCGUUCGGGACCUCAGACGACGAUCUUCGAGACUUCCUUCGGCUAAUUGGAGGAACAACUGAUGCUAGAAGUGGGGCAAGAGAGCGGUCCAGAGGGGAGGAAAAAACGAUGCUUCCGUCACUCCACCGGACCUACGGUUGGUCUGGGUGGCACGCCCUUGUUUCCUAAUGCGCCACUUGGUAUGAGCGCAGGGCUCGAGGCACACAAGGCCUGAGAACAACCUGCUGGGCAUGGCACGUGAGGGGUUGGGUGCUUGUUGGGAGGGCCGCACGAGUUAGUGGGACAUGAGUCAUCCUCCUAUUGGCCCAUGCAGUCGGGUCAUCUCGGUCCUGACCGACGCUGGCUCCCCUGGCGCCCCCUGGCCCCCUUAGGGAUUAUAAAUACCGUCCCCUCCUUAUUUAGGUUUUGCCCUUGGUGCUGUCCUCCUCUCCCCGCCUUCGCAUCUUGCCACCCGCAGUGCACUCCUCUACUUCUAGCCUCCCCUUGCCCUCACGCCGCCGUCUCAUUGUCAGGUCUCCUCCUCUCGGCCUUUCUCAUAGCCCUGAAGUGAGCGGUGUCCUCGGAGGAGGACCCCCCGAGGGCAAAGAAAUCCCGGACGGAGCACCCCUCCACCAGACGCAUGGUGGUCUUUGCCAAGUAGUACGAGUAUGGGAUCCACUUCCCCUGCUCCAACUUCCUUUCUUCCGUCCUGGCCUACUACGGGCUUGACAUCCAGCACAUCACCCCAAACUCGAUUGUGCAUCUCAGCACCUUCGAGUGGGCCUUCCGGGCUGAAGGGGCGAACUCGUCGGCCUGUACCUUCAUCCAUCUGCACGCCGCCUCCAUCCGCAAGAAGUUUCACUUCUUCGAGGGGGUCAAGACAGAGGUCUAUUACAGGCAGGUCUUCAUCUAUCCCUGAGACCACGCCAUUGUCCUAGCCAAAGUGUAGAAGGACCGGAGGGAGACUGCUUGGUUAUCCAAAUGGUUCUACCAGACUGUCCCGACGGACUCCCACAUGAAGUCUACAUGCGACAAGCCCAAGCACACCUCGCAGCCCACCAUCCCGACGGACGAUGCUCUCUGAGUGAGGGUGUCCUUGGUAGGGACCAUCAUGAUGCGCUUCUCCAUGCAGGACCUAGUGGAGGAGUUCCUAGCGGCCGGGGUGUGGCCCCUCUUGAAAGGGUAGGAGUUCCUGGUGGAGGGCGACGGUCACCCUAUCGUAUACAAGGACAAGGAGGUAAGAACCUUCUUUCAGAAGAAGCUUAAGUGGAACCUCCCCGGUGAGUCUAGUUCGUUCGAGCUCUGGGACCUGUUGCAACUUUCCGCUGACCCCCCCCUCCCCCCUCCCAUCUUGAUCUCCUAGAUCUGACUCUGGCGGAGAUCGAGGUGAAGGCGAAUGACUUGUUGGGGCCCUACAACUCCUCCGAGGCUGAGGCCCAGAAGGUUUUGGUGUUAGGCAACCGAGUGAAUUGAAUCCUACGGAUUCGUGGGGUGGCUACCCUAGAGCGCCCCGUGCCGGUGGAGAAGCCACCCUGCGGGAAGAGAACCCGCGGGCGGGGUGGGGGCCCUGGAACCCAGGGGAAAGGGUGAGGCACCAGUUCCACCACAGCCCCCUCCCCCAUUGACGUGAGGGUCCAAGGGGGAUAACUACGAAGCAGAGGUGAAUCAAGAGGACUCCCCCAUGCACUUCGCCUUCCUCCGAUGAUCGUCGGGUAGAGCCACCCCUUAGGGUCUCCCUCGUUCGCUUCGCGCAUUCCCCCGGUUCGGGGACCUCAAGUUCCACACCACGCGGGGCUCGCCUCGGGUUCCAGAUUCCGAUGGCCUACCCUGAGUUCGACAGUGAGGAGGAGGAGGAGAUCCGUAGAGAUUCGUAAGCUAUUUGGCUUCCCCAAGCUGAGUUUGUUAUCCCCGCUUCCGCGCUGGAUGACUAAGUGGUCCCUUCCGCUGUGUUUGGCAGGGGUUGCUAACCUACCCUUGAUAGAGGAGUGGGCGGCCACCUCAGAGGUGGUGGAGGGGGAGGAGAGUAGUGGUGGCCAUGGAGGGAUGAGCCCUUUCCUAGAGGAGGCUCCCAUCGCCCGCCGGGGACGCGGGAAAGGUUUGCUUUGCGAGCCCUCCUCGGAGUCAGACUUCGUCACCCCUGAGGACUUGGCCAGUCGUGCCAGUCCCCAAGCGAAGUUGGCCUCAAUGUCCUUAGGUCUUUGGGUCCUAUCCGUCCAAGGACUGGCCUGGGACCUCCCCAUCGAUGUGGCGUAUGAGGCGCUCGAGCAUUGGGGGUGCAGGUGUGCCUCCUUCUUUUCCCCCUCGUCACCUCCUGGUGUUACUUCGCGCCCCUCCCCCCUGACCACAGGUGGGGCCGUUAUUGCAUGCAAGUCGCCGUGUUGGCAAGGAUGGCUUCGGCUGCGUCCUCCUCCGCUCGGGAAAGUGCCUCCGAGGAUCGCGUGCAGGAGCUGGAGGUAGCCUUGGUGGAAGCCUGCAAGGCUGAGGAGGAGGCUUUGGCCCAGGCCUCAUGGGAGGAGCAGGACCAUGGCAUGGCGAGGGAGGGCCUAGCUACGGAUAAGAAGGCUCGGGAGGCGGCUGAGAGUCGGGCCACCACUACCUCCUCUCAACUUCUCCAGGGGGCUUCGGCCGUGUGGAACACCGUGAAGGACAUGAGGGUUGCCCUUCCCCUACUGGGCGUCGACGUGGACCCCCCGACGUAUUCUCCAGAAAACCUCUCAGAGAGCAUGGACUGGCUCCAUCAGGGGAUCGGGAUCAUCGCUCCGGGUGCCGAAGGUUUCGCCAACGUGUGCGCCCAGACCUCUUGGAGGGGGACCUUCCUGUCGCUCCACAUGGCUGGAUGCGACCAUCUUUGGGCUUCCAACGAGAAAAUUCCGGAGCUCCCUGGUGACACCUCCACCUUCCUGGAGCGGAUCCAGGCUGUGAAGUCCACCUCGCGGGUCUUCAGAGAUUACUGGCUGGACCACGGCCUCGAGCUGGCCCAUCCCUACCAACUGCCGAGGCUCGCGCCAUCUCGAUGGCCCACGCAGGGAAAGCCUCGGUAGAGCUGAGGGCACAGUGGGAAAUGAGACCCUUCGGAGUGAUCCCCAGGUUUGAACUCUUCCCUGGCUUGCCCCUCGAGGCUUAGGUGCCCCGGGUACGUCUUUUGGUAGUUUCCCUUGUUUUGCUAGUUUCUUUUGCUCCGUGAGCCCUUUCGCUUGUAGAGAACACUUUCGGGAUGUUAUAAAAUCCUUUUGAUUAAUGGAAAAUGUGUUUUUGGGUCUGUUCAAGAUCUCAUUAUCGUUUACCGGGGUCCCCCCCCUAUUUUCCCUUUUUUGCCCGUGAGACAUGGCUGGAAGGCUCCUGCUAUGAGAGGCUUGCCCUCCCUCACGGGGUGCCCUAUUCCAAAUAGGGAUUUCCUAGCUGCUCUAGGGUUCGUGCUGCGCCCCUUUUAGAAGUAUUUCCAGAAGCCCUUCUUUUCAACAGGGUCUUGGUCUAAGGCUCCUUCCUUCGGGAUUGGUCGGACUUGUUGGAGAGACAAAGCCUUGUGCUUGGCUGCUAGAGGCAUCCCGAGGAGGAUUUUUCCGACUUCAUCGAGGAGUAUAGCCGCUUGUUUGAUCGACUGAAGCCUGAUUGGCUUCCCCAGCUGCCCCCCCUUCGGAGGGCUUAGAUUCUUCAGCUCUACCCGUACUUCUCCAUUUGCGGGGGGAAAUACCCAGGACAUCCCUGCUCCCAAGGGAGUUGAGAGGGCAUCUUUGUCCCCCUCCAUAGGGGGGGGCUCUUAUGUCGGCCAUCCUUCCGAUUCGGAGGUGUAACAAUUUUUCCGAGAUUUAAAUAAAAAGCUCUAUUUGUGUUUCUCUCUUUUUUUGUUUUUCUACCUGAAAAUCCUCCUAGGUUGCUUCUGCGACUACGUUGCACCUUGGUAGGGAGCCAAGAGCCAGGGCACAGUCCCCGUUCCCCUCCCUUAGAACCGGUAAAGAGCCUAGAGGAUUUCCUAUUUUACGAAGAUUGUUGACCGUGUAUUUACCCAGGAGGCGCGUGAUCCUGUUGCCUCCAAGAGCCUUCGCCUUGGAUGCCUCUUAGCCACGGAGAAAGGGAAAAAAGCAGCCUCCGAUUUAUCUGCCCCGUCGUCGUCGUCGUCCGGGGGCUGGUCGGAGCAGGAUGCUUGGAAGGUGGACCCGCAAGUAGAAAUGGACGCCGCAAUUGCUGGCGUUUGGCGGCGGCGGAGGUUUUGGGGAGCGGAGCUCCUUCCAACGUUUUUGAUGUGGCAACAUCCCAGCAAGCUGCCUGGGAAGCUUUCUCGGUGGACCUCGGACCACGCCUCGCUGCCGGGGAGUCCUCGUCAUGACCGGCGUGUCGCCCUUCGCGUUGGCAGGCUUCCAGAGGAUGAUCUGCACCCCGGACCGGUGCGCCUUUGUGUGGUCACGCCCAUCGUAAUUUCUUAGACUACCUUAAUUGUGGUGACCUAGGCUAAGUUAUUGUUGUGCGUGACGCGACUCCAAAGUUGUUAUUCUCGAGUGGUAUUGUUUGUAAAGAGCGGUCCCGGAAUGGUGCCCGUAUGUUUUUGUGGCUUGUUUCCAUUUACCAUGUUGACGGUUCCCUGGAGGGCAACGCCUCCGACUAAACAGGAGUUCUGUUAUCCUGAAAGGCAUCGCUUUCGGUCACAAUGGACACGUGGUUGCAUUGAGGUGGGUGAAAACACCGCUCGGGUGCUAUGCCGGCGCUCGAGGGCCUCAGCCCUUAGCCACCCCGUGCUACUCGUCGGAAAGCAUUGCUUCCAAAAAGGAGCGGGUGUGAGGUGCUACACCGGCGCUCGAGGGCCUUAGCCCUUAGCCACCCAAUGCAACUCGUCGGAAAGCAUCGCUUUCAAAAAUGAGCGGUGAGACACCAUUGAGCCGAGACCACUUCAUUGGUGCCAUGAUCAGGAUGGAAGUCCUUACAACACUCUGGUGCCCUGCCUCCAGGCAGCGGCCAGAAGAUGCUGGUGGUAACUGAAUGACAGAAGACUCACCGCGCUACCCAUGCGGUUGGCUUGCUAACGGAGAAUAAAAGGAAAAGAAAAUCGAAAGCAAAUUAUGGCUUAAAAAGAGAAAAAAAACAAAAACUCGCGGUGGUGCUAGCUUCCGGCCGGGGAUAGGCUAUGUGCAAGCCCUACCUACCCAUCCUAGGCUCAGGGGUAGUACCGAAUGAGGAGGUCUGCAUUCCAUGAGUGGGGGUCUUCCUCUCUGUUCGGGCAAGUCAGGCAGUAGCUUCUCGGGCGGUUGCUUACGGUGACGAUGAAAGGUCCUUCCCACUUGCUCUCGAACUUGCCCAAGGUGUCAGCAUUCCUCCGAUAGCGUAGGACCAAGUUCCCUUCGGCGAAUGCGCGGUUUCGCAUCUUCUUGUUGCGCCAAGCCCUCGCCUCCGCCAUGUAAUUUUUGAGAUUGACCAUGGCUUGGAUUCACGUUUCCUCCAGAAGUUCCUUGGUGACCGCCUUCUCUCCUUCUUCCGCUUGGUGCGUGACCCGGAGGGAGCUGCGCGAUGCUUCCUCCGGGGUCAUGGCCUCCUCUCCGAACAGAAGCCGAAACGGGGUAAAACCCUUAGGGCGCGACGUGGAGGUGCGAUGAGCCCACAAGAUGUUUGGGAGUUCAUCGGUCCACACGACUUUGGGUUCACCAAAGAUGUGCUUACUCAUCGCUGUGAAGAUGCCACCAUUGGCGUGCUUGCAUGCUCCAUUGGAUUGCGGGUGAUACACCGAGGCAAAGUAGACCUUCAUGCCCAAGUCUUCCCAAUAGCUUUGAAAUCGCUCAGAAUUGAACUGUUUUCCGUUGUCCACCGUGACCUCCAGUGGUACCCCAAAGCGGCAUAUGAUGUUCUUCCAAAAGAAUUUGAUGAUGUUGGCGGAGUUGAUUGCAGUGGUAGGUUCCGCCUCCACCCACUUGGAGAAAUAUUCCACGGUGAAGCAAAAACCUCCCGCACGGUGGGGAGUGGCCCCACGAUGUUGAUACCCUAUCGUGCGAGUGGCCAGACAGGGGCCAACGGUUGGAGCAGCGUGGCAACACUUGACUAUUUCUUGGGUGUCCCAGAGCGCAGUGGGCCAGUAGAAUCCUUAUCAGAAGACCUUCCCGAUGAGGGCUCUGGACACUGAGUGCACCCCGAAAGGCCCAGCAUGCAUUUCUUCCAGCAUCUGUCGCCCCUCCUCCCUCGGGAUGCAUGCAAGAGGGGGCAAACACACCAGCCUUGUAGAGGGUUCCGUCCACGAGUUGGUAGUUGCAACACCGUUGUUGUAGACGGUGCAUCUUCGUAUGGUCAUCGGGGGUGUACCGCUCUUCAAGGAACGUAAUGAUGGGGGAGCGCUAGUCUUCGCUGAAUAUGGCUGCCACCUCGCGUGAGGUCCCGACGUCAUCGCGAGCGGUCGUAGGGAGUGGGUUCCCUUGGGCGGCUGCCUUGGCCAAUGCAUCGGCGUGCUCAUUCUUUGCCCUAGGGAUGUGUGUGCUGUGAAACCUUGGAACUUGCACUCCAAAUUCCGGACCACCCGGAGGUACUCCACCAGCUCGGGCUCCCGGGCCUGGUAUUCCUUUUCCACUUGGAGUGUGACGACUUGGGAGCUGCUCUUGACAAGGAGGCGCCGUGCUCCCAGGGUCGCCGACUUCUGUGACGUGAGGGCGAGUGCCUUGUACUCCACUAUAUUGUUGGUGCAUGGGAAAUUGAGGCGGAGGGCGUACCGCAUCUCCUGCCCCGACGGGGAGGAAAACAUCACCGUAGCCCUUGCGCCGGAGGCGCCCUAUGCAUCAUCUACAUACGCUGUCUAGAUUGGCUCCGCCAUCGGGAGGCCACCGACAGAUGUCACCGGCGUCCAAUCGGCAGCGAAAGAAAGCAUGAAAGGAGCAAUUUCUGCUGCCCAUUUGCUGAUGUGCCCGAUGGCCUCCCGAUUUUCGAAGACGUCACGCAACGGGUAGGAUGUUGGGACGGUGAUCGGGUGAGCAGUGAAGUAGUUUUUCAGCUUGCGGGAGGCCAUGAUAACGGCAUACGCCAUCUUCUCCAGCUUGGUGUAGCAAAGUUUGGCCCUCGCCAGUGCUUCAGAGACAUAGUGCACUGGGGACUGUUCUUCCCUCCCGAGCGUUCUUUCACCAGGACCGUGCUCACUGCUCCCUCCGCUGCUACAAUGUAGAGUAGGAGCAGGGCGCUGGGGGUAGGGGUUGUCAGCACUUCCAGAUGCUCCAGUUACUGCUUGAGUUUGUGGAAGGUCUAUUGUUUCUCCUCCAUCCAACGGAACGGAUCGGAACCCCGCAGUACCUUGAAAAAGGGCAGGCUCCGUUCCGCCGAUCUGGCAAUGAAGCGGCUCAUCACCGCAAGCCACCCCGUCAGGUGUUGUUCCCCGCGCACAUUGCUCAAGGGCUUCAUCUCCUAGAUGGGGUGGAUCUUGUCAGGGUUGGCCUCAAUUCCCCGCUGGGAGACAAGCUAGCCCAAUACCUUUCCAGAGCGCACCCCGAACGUGCACUUUUCGGGGUUGAGACGCAGCCUGGUCCUUCGCAGAUUUGCGAAAUUUUCCCACCGGUUUGAGAGGUGGUCCUGCUCGUCCCUACUUUUGAUGACAACAUCAUCGAUGUAAGCCUCCAGGUUCUUUUCGUCCUGGGCGUCGAAACCAGCUGGACCAGCCAGGUUGGAGAGGUAGUCCUGCUCGUCCCUACUUUUGAUGACAACAUCGUCGAUGUAAGCCUGCAGGUUCUUUCCAUCCUGGGCGUCGAAACCAGCUGGACCAACCAGGUGAACGUUGCCCCGACAUUCCUGAGGCUGAAGGGCAUCCGCACGAAGCAGUAUGUUCCAAAUAGGGUGAUCAAGCUGGUCCAGGGCUAGUUGUCUUCCGCCAUCCAUACUUGAUGAUACCCGGAGUAGGCGUCCAGGAAGCUGAGGCCCUCGCUCCCGGAAGUGGAGUCCACAAUUUGAUCAAUGCGGGAGAGAGGGAAGCCAUCCUUCGGGCAAGCCUUGUUGAGAUCGGUGAAGUCUACACACAUUCACCACUUUUCGUUGUUCUUCUUCACUAGGGUCGGCUUGGCAAGCCAUUCUAUUUGAAUGACUUCUCGAAUAAAAUUUGCGUCGAGCAGUUUGCGCACCUCCAUGCGGGCCGCCUCCUUCCUUUUUGUCGACAUCUUCCGCACCUUCUGCUUCCGGGGCUUCUUCUUUGGGUCCACAUUCAGGUAGUGCUGGAUCAUGUCUCGGUCAAUCCCUUGGAGAUCAGAGGAGGACCAAGCGAAGUCAUCCUCAUUUUCCCAGAGGAAGUCGAGGAGGGCCACCUCCAGUUCCUCCAGGAGGUCGGCCACCAGCUGCACCAUCCUCUCGGGCUGCUCCGACCGGAGCACCACGGUCUCGAUUUCCACCCUCAGGGGGAGCCUUCGAGACAUAGCGGGUGGAUGAGGCCCCCCCGCUUUCCUCCGAUUGUGUCGGAGCCAACUCAUUGACUUCCCGUUGCCCUGGGGCGUGCCCGAUUUCUAUGAGUCUGGCUAGCUUCUGAUCUCCCAGCACCUUAAUGAUUCCUUUCGAUCCCGGCAUAUUCAUGUAUAGGAAACCAUGAUGAGGAACGACGUAGAAGGUGUUGAGGAGGCAUCUCUCGAAUAUAACAUUGUUUUUGUAGGGUACAUCCACCACGUCGAAGAAGAUGUCCUUCGUGUGGGCGUACUCGACAAGGCCGAAAGACACUGGUAGCCGGAUCUAGCCCAAGGCCUUGACUGCUUGCCCUCUAAAACUGCGCAGUGGGGUUCUGGACCGAGUGAGCUGAGUGCAGGAGAGCUCCAUUUGAUUGAAGGCCGAGGCGAAGAGGAGGUCCGCUGAGUUCCCCCUGUUGAUGAGAAUGUGCUGGACUUCCACCUCGACGACGCUGGCCGAGAUGACGAAGGCAUCAGCGUGGGGGUAGAAGGGUGCGUUGCAGUCCUCCGCUCUGAAGGUGAUCGGGACGGUGGCGUAGAGGGUGAGCGGGACCUGUGGGCGAUCACAUGCUGGACCUCCUGCACGUACUCGCGCCGCUGGUGCUUGGACUCCAGGGGCUGUAUGGAUCCUCUGGAGAUAAGGAGGACCACGCGAUGAGUCCCUACCACGUGCUGCACGUCCCAGGCAAGCACCUUCUUCUUCGAGGUGGCAGAGGAGCCUGCGGCUGCCCCGGGGGUGGCAGCGGGGGCAUCCCGUACGCCGCCGCGGGUAGCCACUGAUGGGUGGGGUGCGGCAUCAGCAUCGGAGGUGCGAUGACUGAACCCAUCGAUGGGGGAGGGGUAGUGUGCAUGAUGGACCUCCUUGUGAUGGAGGCCUUCCGGGUGGAGGUGGCUGCUUCGGCCUUGCAGGCGUCAAUGGAGGGGCACUCUCGAGUGGUGUGCCCUCCCCAGUGUUCGUGGAUGAUGCAGUAUAGUUUUGAUGAAUUCCCGUAACGAGUCUGACUUGACUCAGUUUGAGGCUUAGUGUUCCGAGACCCUCUGUCGGAGGUCUUCUCCCUCUUUCGGUUCCCUCAGAAUUCUUCCCACCCUAGGGAGGUCUCCACAAUUUGAACCUGUAGGUAGGAGCGACGGGUGUGGUCUUGCCACUUGCGCUGGUCGUCCUUCUCCCAGGGAUGCUCCGGAAGGGAGUCAUGAUGCCUUCUCUCAUACCUCUUGGGCUAGGACUUUGAAGGGAGCUUGCAUUGUGCCUCAUGGAGUUUGUCGUCCUCCGCGCACGCGUACUCCUCCAUCUUGCACAUGAGUUCCGACACGGUUUGAGGAGGGCGUUGAGAGAAGCGUGACCGAAGGAAGCCGUGGUGCAGCUUCUCUUGGGUGGCGGUGAUGAUGUUCCUCUCGCUUAGGCCACUGGGUUGGCACUUCACGUUGAUGAAGCACUUGACAAAGCUCCUGAGCGUCUCCAUCCUCCCUUGCUUGACGGCGAAGAGGUGCCCUGAAGUGAUGGGUCAUCGUAGUUUCCCUGGAAGUUCUCCAGCAUGUCUUCCCGCAGCUGCUCCCAGGAGAAUAUCUUCCCGGCCUCGAGGGUGGUGUAUCAGGUACGAGCCAUGCCCGUUACAACCAUCACAAAGCUCUUUGCCAUGAUGGCUUCGUUGCCUCGGACCGACUGGAUCGCGGCCUCAAAACUCAUGAUGAAAGCAUUGGGGUUAGUAUUUCCAUCAUAGGGGGCGAUCUGCGGCAUCUUGAAUCCCCGCGGCUAGUUGAUGGACUGGAGGCUAGGGGAUAGGGGGGACUUGGGGUCGUAGAGGGUAUUUCUUCGGGCAUGACCAUCGGAUAAAACCCGGCUGGGGAGACGCUCCGGAUCGCCCACGCUCCCUUUCCCCGAUGCGUCUAGAAGAGCCUUGGCUGACUGGAGGGCUUCCAGAUCCUUCCGGAGUUCCUUAGCCCACCGCAUGACGUCAGCUCUCCGAUGUGGGUAUUCCUCCUCCCUGGCCUGAGCUUCUUUGUUGAUGGCCUCCCGGCUGGCCGUCUCCCUUUGCUCGCUCUUCCUUCGGGCUUGCUCUAGCUGAGCCUGCAGGUCAUCCACCUCCACUUCAACUUCUUGGGUCAAUUGCUCCUCUCGGGAGCCAAUGGCUUCGAGGCUGAAGGCAUCUACCAUCUCCUUCUCUCCGACCACCGGGUUCGCUCCGGCCUCAAGUCAUCAUCGCUGAUGCCCGCCAGCUCCUCAUCGCCUCCCAGGUCGACCCUUUCUGAAUCGACCCCGACGGCUGCUCCACCCUCCGGAGUUGCAGCCUUGGAGGGGUCGUUGGUUGUCGAGGGGAGAGGAUCCGCCGGAGGGUCAAUGGCUCCCUUCCCCUUCUGUUGCUGCGGUGCCAAGUGGCUUCUCAGUCACUCUCAUCCUCACAGACGGUGCCAACUGUUGGUGGUUACAAAAUGCCCAAACAGUAGAGGGUGGAUCUAGAACAAGACAUUUGUCCAAAGAGCUUUAAGUGGACUGAGUGGCUAGGAUGUUGUGUUCUGCUUAGCCCAUGACUCUUCUGAUUUAUAGCCUUAGCGAACGAGACCUUUUUGAUGUAAAAAUCCUUAUGCCCUCGGUACGACGCCCUUGGAGGGAGACCCACUAGGGGGCAGCAGGGAUAACAAGGUAAAUGACCUCUCAUGGGUACGAAGGUCCUUCGUACCUAGGGCAAAUGUGGCAGCCCCUUUCCGUAUGGGGGCGGGCGUGGUGCACCUCAUACCUAGGGCUGAUGCUGUGGUUGCCCUUUCUCUCUGGAUGAUGCCUGAAGGUAAAGAUUCCCUUUCUUGGAGCGCAGCCUGAAGACCGGACCAGGACUCUCGACCUGUCAAUCCCUCCCGGAGGGAUGAUGCCCCCGCCGGAACUAGGGGUCUUUCAAGAGAGCCUCGAACGAUUUGGACGGGGGCCCCUCACCUUCCCUGCUAUCCCGCGGGCUGUUCCACCCUCAUCGCCUCCCACCGGGGGCUUCGAGGUUCAUCAGCUAGCCCCUGUGUGCUACUUUGGGGGACCCCCUUUCGCUUCCCUCCUUCAUGACCUCCCGCCUUCCUCGCCUUCGUGGCCUAGGAAGGUGGUGGAAGGACGGGGUGAUUUCCCGCAAAGAGAGGCACCUCCGGAGGUACGGAUUGCUCCGACGGGAAAUGACCCCUCCGGCCUGUGAUCUUGGGCCAAUUCACCAACACUUGGUUUUGCUGAUUUGUCAUGCCACGUUGGACAGUAGUGACACAUUCGCAUUUGGGGGCGUGUCGUAAUGAAGGCUGCCUUUGCCACUCGAUGAUGCUGGCCCUGGUCACCUCCCGAAGGUGACCGGUAGGGGAUGGGGCCGCCUCCCGGUGGCAUGGUGCAUGGGGUCGGGGGCAAGACGAGGGCCUCUUCCCGGCGAUAGGUGCAGCGCAUGCGGGGGCUCAGAUUGGGACAUGGGCCACCUCCCGGAGGUGCGGUACGCAGCUUGGGGGCUCCUCCCAGCGGUGAGGUGAAUGCGGGUUCGGUCCGAGAUCGGGAUCGUCUCCUGGUGGCGAGGCGCGCAGGAUGGGAGAGGUGGGGAAAAGGCAUGACAUGUGGGGCCAGGAUGUAAUAGAGGGAGGAAGAAGAAAAAAGGGGUACAUAGCUUGAAAUGUGGGGCAUUGCCAUGUUGUUAUCAAUGUCAGCUGCCAUGGUGGCAAAAUCACCUCUAAAACCACUUUAGGGGUUAUUUAAAUGGUAUUGUGUACUUGAUGGGGCUAAACAUCUGGUUUUAGAGUUCACGGUGUGAAGUGUUCGACCUACAGUUGGGGGGUUAUAUAGACUUUUCCCUUUUAUUCUAUCUACUAGUACUUUUUAUAGCGAUCUAUGAACUUGUUGCUCAUCAUGUAUUAAUAUCAUGUAUUUAUGUGGACUAUGAACUCGUUCCUUACUAUGUUAAACUUGUUGAUUAUUAGAAGUACUAGCAUACAGUAGAGGUGCAAUCUAUGGGCCGGGCAACCCAUGAGUACCCGCUAACCCGACAGGCAUGGGUUUGGGUAAAAUUCUAAACCAGUCGUAGGAAUGGAUUUUUAACGGGUUUAAAUAUUUUUCAUGGACAUGGACUUGGGAUGGCAAAACCUAGCAGGUUUGUGCCCGCAAGGAAUUAGAAUUAGAAGGAGAAAAAGGAAGGAAAAUGAAAAUUGUAUGGAAAGAAAUAGAAAAGGAAGAAUAAAAAAGAAACAUCAAAGUUUUAAUGUCUUUAUAGCACCCCGCAAAGUUAGUCCAUAGAAAAAAAGCGAAAAUGAAAAAUAAGGAGAACCAGGAAUAAAAUAGAACAAAAAAGGAUAAAAGGGGAAAAGAAAAGGAAAACAAAAAAGAACCAUAAUGCACCAAUCAAAAUAAAAAAUAAAAUAAAGAAUAGAAAAGGAGAUGAAUUACAUGCAUGGCAAAAAAUACUAAGGGAAGAUUAUAGAAAAAAGAGAAAACAAUAAGGAAUAGAAUAGAAGAAAACAAAUACAGGUAAGAAAAAAAAAGGAAAACAAAAAACAAAAAACAUGCCCCUGCAUGACAUCGGGCACGACCAUGUGCAUUGUCCACUCCUAUACUCCUUCAGCCAAAAAAUGGCUUGCUGCUAGCUAGCUAGUAUUGGGCUCUUGCUAGCUCAUGGAAACAUGCUGAAAAACAUGCACCAAGCAGCCGGCUAGUGCAACGGGCCAUGUUAUUGGGCCGAUUCUGGAGCACACGUUAUUACAUGAAUUUGUCACUUAAUAAGCAACAUACAGGUCCUGUUUGGCAUGGCUCCAACUCUGGGUGGAGCUGCUCCACUCCAGAACUCCAUGUGGAGCCAACUCUUGGUGGAGUUGGAGCGGUCUAGAUGGGGUGUUUGGCCAGAAGAGUACUCUCAGCUCCAAAAAAAGACCAAUUUCAGUGUGGAUUGCCAUUGUUUUCCCCCAAUUCAGGCCCCACUUGUCAUCCUCUCUAUCCCCAUCUUCAUCUUCCUCAGAAGGCGCAGGUAGGGGUGCGGAUGGCGGGACGGCGGGGGUCGGGCAAGCGGCGGUGGGGGAAGGGGUGCGGACGCGUGGGAGGCGUGUCUCAGGGCGGCGGCCUGGUCCGGCGGUGGAGGAGCCCUACCCAGGCAAAAUGGGGGCGGCGGGCUAGCGGGGCGCACACUUGUACCGGUGGGGUGGGCAGAUGGCGGGGUGGGCGCGGACGGCGGGAUGGCGAGGUGGGCGGCCAGGGCGAGCGGCAGGGUACACGGACGGUAGGAUGGCGGGAUCCGUAGCGGGGCGAGCAGAGGGCGGGGCAACGGGGGCGGUGGACAGCGGCGGGGGUCGGGCGGCCGGCGGUGGUCAGGAGGGGCAGCAAGAGGGGCCACCCGGUAGUGCAUUGAUGGGCGGCGGGGGAGGAAGACAGGUGCAUGGGAGGGAGUCACAGUGGGGGAGGGGGGGCCUCGGGAGAAAACAAACAAACUUUUUUGUGUGUAACCAGUGGCAUUGGUAGGUAAUUACCCACCAACUCCAUGAGGAGGUUCAUAUUGGGUGGUUUUGGAACUGCAAAAGAGGUGCUCCAAAACUCCACCCCCAUUUGCACUACAACUUCAUGGAGUUGGCAGCUCCAUGGAGUUUUGGAGCUGGGGUGUUUGGUUGGAAAAUUGGUUGGAGUUGCUGGAGUUCAGCUCCAGAGCCAUAUUAAACAUGCCCAUAGUCGCACGUGGCCAGGGGAGAGAUUCAUGGGAGAGGCCUGCAGUUUCAUGUCACUUGGAUCGCUUGGGUUGCUUCAAUGCAGAGGCGGGGGGCAACGACCCUGGUUGAGGGAACGCCAGGCCCCCGCAUCGCUCGCGUUGGGCGACACGGGCGACUCCCCCAUCCGUUAGCCUUAGGCCCCACCGGCCUCGCUCCUAGCCUCCGCCGCCGCCGGAGUUGCCCACCGGAAGUCUGGUGCGCAAUGAGGAAGGUGGCGGUAGGGCCAUUCCACCUUCUUCCUGCCUUUUCCCCCCUCUCUCGUGAGCUCUUCCUUCCUCCAUGAGCAUGGCCGGCGUGGUGGUGCUCCAGCGAGGUGGCCAUGGCCGGCGGCUAGAUCUACAUAGGAGAUGGCCGGAUCCGCGAGUGGGGAGGUAGGAUUUGCUGACUCCCCCAAGCAGCGGCUGCGACUGUGGCUAGGGCGGGUGGCCCCUCUACCGAGAAUGUGCUCCGGCGAGACUCCGGCAUGCCUGUGGCCAGAUCCGCUCCCGUGGUGGUUGGAUCCGUGUCCUAUGCUGCUAGAUCGGCUCCUUCGGGUGGCUGUUUGUUUUGGUCGGCCGGCGGGCGGGCGCCCCAGCAACAGCUCGCCCCUGCCUUUGGGGGUCUAGCCCGUGUCGUCCGGCCUCGACCUGCGGCGCCAGAUUCAAGCGCGUGCGGGUGUUGCGGCUGGCAGCAACGGCGGUGGGAUGUCCGCUGUGGGCACGCGAUGGCAAGGCGGCAUCACUGCGGGGUGGCCUGCGGUGGCGCCGUACGCUGCCGCUGUGGCCACGGGCGCAGGAGGCAAUUCGCGUGGGCCAGCCACGGCUCCAUGCGGAUAUGGAGCCUGCGCCAAGACCACGCCGGAAGUCCGUGCUGGAUCCGUCCGGAAGGAAGCUGCAGCAGGCUCCAGUCUGAAUGGAAUUUGCAAGGAGAAAUCCUCUUCCGUGGAGGCGUUGUCAAGUCUUCUUCCAUGCAACUGCUGGUGCGGCCAAUGCAGGUGGGCGGGUAAUUGCAGGAAGAAAUCCAAGCCCGGUGUUGCACCGGUGCCGACAAUGGCGAUGCCUUCGAGUGCCGCUCCCCUCCAUGGAGGCUUUGUCGAUAUGCCUCCUGCCACUUGCUACUGUUGCUGCUUGCUUCCCAAUGACACCGGUAUCGUAUCCUCCCCUUGCCAAGAUGUUGGUUGGUACUGCUGCUAAGGUCCCGCCUCCCUGCACCAUUUUGUUAAGCUGUCACCAUGAGCAGGAGUGUGAUUAUCAUCAGCGUCUCUACUUUGUCAUCAUCCUCCUUCCUUAAUUGUACUAUCUCAUCUUAUGCCAGGUUAACGGGACCAUGAUCCCCUCUACCUCUAUUGGAUCUCCCCAUUCUCCCCUCGAUGACCCUUCCUUCCUUGUGGUUUCCUCCCCAGAAAGGGCGUAGAAGGACGUCGAUUGGAUCCUGGAUGGUCCUCGAAGGCACUGCCAUACAGACUGUCGUCUUUCAGCUUCGGCUUCGACUCAAUGCUUCACAGUUGCGGAAUGAGGAUCGGCAAAGUAUAGUUUAGUUGAUGAUAACAUAGGCCAGUGAAAAGGCGUCUUGCCCUUAUUUGGUUGCAUGUGUUGGCGUUUUGAUCUUAAUCUUCUUUUCUAGAUUGGCUCUGUGGGGUCUGUUUGGCCUUUUGUAACUGAUACCCUCCUUUUUCCGUUUUCUUUGCUGAAACAUAAAUGUAAGACUUUGGCCUACCAAAGACCCCAGCAAUGAAAUCACGUGGGAUCCCCCUGACCCUAAAAAAAUGCAGAGGCGGGGCAAGGCACGGAGUAUCGUGGUCGGUUCACUCGUGUAGGACCGAGGAGGGGAUAGGGACAGCCAAAUCAAAGCAAUGUGAAUGGUGGAUGGAAUUUUAAGGUGAUCUAGAUUAAUUAGAAAUGAGCUUUAAAGGUAUUAUUGCAAGCUUCAAUUUUUCACAACCGAUUUCGAGUAACCAGUAUCGUCCUGAGUAAUUCAUUCUUCUCCCCGUACCUAUUUUUCACGGUAGUCUUGGCUAAUUCGGCUAUUAGCUAAUGCUAAUGGAAGUGCUUUGGUAAAUGCUAAUAUGGUUACUUGAUGGAGCUAUUUUUUUUGCGACACCAUUUAAAUAGAAAGAAUAGCGGUUGUGGGCAGGUUCCACCGUAAAAACUUACCAGCUAAGCUAUGCUUAGUUAGCUUGAUGAUUCCAUAGUGGUCCACUAAACUCUAACUAUAUCCACACCUAGCUUCAUAAAUUAUAGCAAACCCCAAAUAAAUUCACAAAAUAAAAGCCCACACAUUUUCAAGGUAACUCUGGCAGUUAGGUUUAUUUAUAACUAAAUAACACACUUAAUUCACAUAAUAAGUUCAUAGUGAUAUGAUACAAACUCCAAUCUUCCUAUUACAAAACAACCUUCAACAUAUAGCUUAAAUAUCUUCCGGAAAUAUACAAACACAUAUACACACAUGCCCCUAAAUCAUGAAGAACAAACACAUAUAUUCACACAUGUAAUGAUACGGUUGAUAUACUUGUAUAUGCCUAUACUCAUAAAUAGCUUAGAUGGUUACUGAAAAACAUAUACAAACCAUGCAUUAUUUCACAAGAUGGAUGCAAUGCAGCUAUAGAUAUACUAUAUUUAUGCAAUCAUCUUUGUUUCCCUCUCACUUCUUUAGUACCUGCUUCCAAAGGCCAUCCACAUCAUCCAUGGUUGCCAUGGAUUCCGGUGCUGUGGACACCGUCGAUGAUAACUCAACGGUGUUGACAUGGUCGGGGUUGUUCAGCCCAACGUCCUUCUGUGACACCAUUGGUAGCGAAGGCGGUGUAGCCAUGAAGCUGGCAGCACCUAAUGCUCCCACGCCCAUCUGAUGGUAGAAGGACAUUGGCGGCAGAUGGGCCAUCGGGUCCCCAAACAACGUGUCAUUCAUUUGAAGCCCAGCACUGCCCAUGCCUGCCAUAGGUGGCAUCAGUGGUGGCACCGAUGAGGAGCUCGCUCCAGCGGUGGAGUAGUACGAUGCUACAGGGUCCAUGGUGAAUGCCGGUGGGAUGGGAAAUUGCAUCGGCAUGGGCAUGGUGAUGCUACUUUGUUCCAUCCCACCACUAGUCAUAGCCAUGUCGUACAAUGAUGGCGUAGGCACAGAUGCCUUCUUGAUCCCUGUGUUCUUGUGGAACACACGACAGACCACCCAAUCAUCCUGCUUGAAUUUCAUAUGUAGAACAUCAAAAACAAUUAUUAGGGUAACCAAAGAAAGAAGUAUGGAUGCAUGCUAGUGCUGCUACUACCUUGGAAAGAAGCGGAGAUUCCAUGGUGGCAUCGGAGUUUGAGCUUGAUGUGGGGCAGGGGAGCUUGCUGCUAUGUUGGAGCCUAAACUCGUGCAUGACCCAGUUGGUUUUUUCGCCCCUAGGAGCUCGUCCCUUGUAGAAGACAAGUGUCUUCUUCAUGCCAAUGAGCACCGGUAGUGGUACACCUACUUUGGUCCCGUAUAUCUCCUUAUCCUUACCGGUGGCCUUCCAAUAGCCCGCCUCUGUGGCCCGAUUUGCCCUCAUCCCUGUCGGGUACUUGCGGUCCUUCUGAUAAAAGAAGUACCAUUCCUUUUCUCUUCCCAUCUUCGCCUUUACUACACGAAUCAAUUCAAAGCAUCAUUAAUUCAAAACUCACAACAGCAUGAAUCCAUGGACCAAACAAGGUGUAUAUGUAUAGAGAUUGCGUAUGUACCCGGGAGUUCCCAUGGCUCGGUUCUAUUGAGGUUGACCUCUCCAAUGGCGACGCAUGUGAAGCUCCUCUGUAGCACCUUGGGAGUGAGGUAGAAGGUGAUGAUCUCCUCGUCACUAGGGUGGAACCGGAACCCUGGAGGUAGCUCAAGGUUGCCGUCAGGUUGCUGCAUGUGGUGGUCUCCCAUGGUUCUCUUGCUGCAAAUGAUGAAGAUAAUCAACAAACUAAGAAAACGAUUGCACUAAGCAAUAAGGAAUACGUACGUAGGUACUUAAACAAAGAGUAGGAAACCGUACAUGUGCAAACACUUCUUCAUCUGCUAGUCAGUCUGUAUCUCUUAGACGGAGCUUCAAGACGGAUGCUGGAGGAGUUAUUGUGUCUAAAAAUUAGCCAAGGAGUGCAAUGGCUUUAAUAGGCUAGAGGCGUGUAUAGGGAAAUCGCUUAUUGCAGAAGCCUGCCUCUCCACGACCACCUCCCCCUCUUUAUCUGUUGUUGUCUAUUUCUACUAGCAAUUGUAAGUAUGUUCUUUCCAACUGUGCCAUGCUUGUCCUCACGCACCACAUUGUCACUUUCGCACUAGGGGCCAUGCCUGCUAGUGACAGAUGCCCUAGCAUCUAAAGUUCUCUGCUGCUUGCAUGUCUGUUGUGAUCCCUCCGGUUUGCAUGCCUUGGUUUGUGAUUCCAGUGGACAAAAAUGCAUUGCCCAUGCAUCCCGCCCCUAGUCAUCUGCCACAGCAGUAUUAUGUGGCCGGCCUUUGUCGAGAUAUGCACGUGUAGGUUGUUGCUCCGAUUACCGUAAGACCUUUGUGAUGUAAAGUAGAUAGACAAGCGUGGGGUUCAAGUUACCAUCACGGGGCAAUGCGCAUCCAUUUUGGACAAGAUUAGUGACGGGUCAUCGUGAUCUAGUUGGCGAUUGUUCUAGAGCGUCAUGUUUUUCACUCAAUCAGAUUAGGUGUAAAGAGAAUGUGUGUAUGCUGUAUUGUAUCCAUGUGGUGUACCGUGUGUGUAUGUGCUGUCUAUUGUGGUGCAUGUAGACACCAUGAUGUAUCUAUCCAAUGGACAUUGUAUUACAUGUGUUUAUAGUCACACAGAAACCAUGCACAUACACAUCAUUGCCCAACUGCCAAGUGUACUUCGAUGCAAGUGUGCUCGAGGUUCCCUUGCGUGCCAGCCUAGGAAACUAUGGGCAGCUAGCUGGUUAUUUGAUCUAGCAGGUGGCGGACAAGAGACGGAUAUUGCAUGCAUGUGUGAGAUAUUUUGUUUUUCUUUUUUCUUACUUUAAGGAAUUAAUUUAAUAAAGGUGCACUAUGAUCCAUCGAUCACAUUGUGCGUGCAUACAGAUCACUACUGUUCGUGCCUACGUGCCUUCAAGGCCAGGUGAAAUGGCAUGACAUGCUCGCUUUACAAAGAAAAGUUGCCAGAUGAAUGUACAUGCUUGUUAAUCGCUUGGCUUUUGGCUGAGCCCUCGGUAGUGAAUCUUGUCAUGGCCCAACCUUAAGCUAUCCAUCCAGUAUCUAUCACUACAAACUAUAUGGCCACCGAAUGUUUGAUGGAUUAUCAGCUAGAGAAUGUAUGCGUCAUUACUCUCUUUUUUUUUGUGGCACAUGUCUCAGCUAGUUGUGAUUUCAUGUCGGUACAAAAAUUAGGAAAGUGAUUAUAAAGUCACAUGGAAAUCACAUAGCUCUAACAAUGCGUUUGCAUUGAGCCCAGCCUGUCUCGCUAACCUAUUUCACCCCCAGUUGGUGAGAAGAAUAACCAGCAUGCUACCGAUGCUCAUCAAAAUACACUGUAUCCCCUACCAAUCAACACUUGGCCAUGCAUGUGGACCGAUAGCGCGCCACCAUGGUAACGUAUCCUACCAAUGGUUGUCUAACACUCUGGCCAUACCUUUAAGUCUAUUAAUCGCCAUCUAGAUAGACCUCCCUAAACCAAGCCCUAAUUAAUUAACCUCAUAUAUAGGCAACAUACAUGGCCGUGGACUACAAGGAUGAAGAAAAAACGACCACUGCUAGGGAAAGGGCCGACCACCGCUAGCGAAAGGGCCUUCUGUACAAUUUCGGUUUCGCAACCGGUAUUGCCAGUUCGGUACUAAAGGAGGGAGCCUUUAGUACCGGUUGAAAUAACCGGUACUAAAGGGGUAUUAAAAAAUAAAAAAAUUCAAAUCCCCCCGCUGGAUCCGCUCUCCCCGGCUCCUGCCCCGCCACCAGCCCCGCCGCCCCCAGCCCCGCCCUCCCGCAGUCCCCGCUGCCUCCACCCCGCCGCCCUCGCCCCGCCACCCCCUCCCUCCCAUGGCUCCCACCCCCGGCCCCCGUCCCGCCGCCGGCCCCCGCCACCCCCACCCCGCCGCCGGCCCCCGCCCUCAUGCCGCCCCCUUCUUCCCCCUUCUUCCCGCGGCCGCCGCUCCUGCUGCCCCCGCCCACCCGCCGCCGCUCUCACCGUCCGCUGCCGCCACCUCAGCUCACCCCACCAUUGCUCCUCACUGCCGGUGAGGGGCGAGCGGAGGGGGGAGGGGAGGGGAGGCAGAGGAGGAGAGGAAGGGUGAUGGUGCUGAGAGAGAGAGAGGAUGAGGAGGGAGGAAACGGAUGGAUAAGUGGUGGUCGGUAGCGAGUAGCAGGGGGAUGGAUAAGGCGGCGGAUGGGAGCUCUUGGUACUGGGUGGGAGCUCCACCCGGUACUAAAGGUCAUCAAUUAGUAUCGGGUGGAGCCUAGUACUAAUGUGCCUUAGGGGGUGUUUGUUUCCUAGGGGCUAAAUUUUAGCCCCUGUCAUAUCGGAUGUUUGGUACUAAUUAGGAGUAUAUAGGCUAAUUACAAAACUAAUUGCACAAAUGGAGGCUAAUUCAUGAGAUGAAUCUAUUAAGCCUAAUUAAUCCAUGAUUUGACAAUGUGGUGCUACAGUAACCAUUUGCUAAUGAUGGAUUAAUUAGGCUUAAUAGAUUCAUCUCGCGAAUUAGCCUAGGGCUUCUACAAUUAGUUUUAUAAUUAGCUCAUGUUUAGUCCUCCUAAUUAGCAUCCAAACAUUCGAUGUGACAAGGGCUAAACUUUAGCCAAGGAUCCAAACACGCCCUUAGGGUCUUUAGUACCGUGUGGAGGCUCCACUCAGUACUAAUGGGUGACCUUUAGUACCAGUUGGAGCCUCCAACCGGUACUAAAGGGGGUCACAGGGUACUAUACAUUAGGCCCGGUACUAAUGCUCAUAUUAAUACUGGAAUUGCAACCGGCACUAAGGUGCUGGACGGAAGACCCUAGUGGACGGCAAGUUGUAGAGAUAUGCUAAACAUUAAAAAAA
rnacentral:lncRNA from 1 species